CCCUGCACGCACGCCGCACACGCACAAGCAAGCUCGCUCUCGUCGCCAUGGCUCGCAGUCUGCAAUAAAAUCGCACGCACAAGCAAGGCAACCCACACGUACGUACCCGAAGCCGGUGUCGGCGUAGUAGGGGAGGUUGGUGAGGGUGGUGUCGUCGACGUCGAACACCCACACCUCUUCCCCGUCGCCGGCGAGCUCGAGCCCCUCGGCGUAGGCGGCGGCCUCGCCUGCCACCACCGCGCAGUCCUGCCUGAACAGGUCGCCGUACAUGUAGUCGCGGACGUAGCUCCGGCACUCGGCGGGGAUGCUGUACCAGUCCCGGAUGUUGUUGGUCUCCACACCGAGCCGCCAGCUCGCGCACGACGCCACCGCGCGCGCCGUGCCGGCGGUGGAGGUCACCAUCUGCAGGUGGUGCAUGUCGCCGCCCGCGCGCGUCGCGCCGGCCGCGUGAACGGCCACCACCAGCAGCGACACCAGCGCAUGGCGGAGGAGCUGGAGCGCCAUGACGGCGUGUGUACUGUUCCAAUACUGUUGCUUCGUUCGUGCGAACCGCUCCUGUUUCUUUAAAAAAAAUGAAAAAGAGAUAGGAACAGGAAGGAGUACUGCUCAGGUACACUGUUCAGGUUUCAACAACGGGAAAACGUCUCAGUCAGCGUACUAUGCUAUGCUCACAAUUUUCGUUUUUCAAUUUGUCUAUUAUUAAGGCCUUGUUUAGUUCCGAAAAAUUUUGGAAAAUGGACACUGUAGCAUUUUCGUUUGUAUUUGACAAAUAUUGUCCAAUCAUGGACUAACUAGGCUCAAAAGAUUCGUCUUGUCAAUUUCGACCAAACUGUGCAAUUAGUUUUUAUUUUCGUUUAUAUUUAAUACUUCAUGCAUGCGUCUAAAGAUUCGAUGUGACGAGGAAUGUGAAAAAUUUUGCAAAAUUUUCUGGGAAGUAAACAAGGCCUAAGAAAAUUUUGCAAAAUUUUUCAGAUUCCCCGUCACAUCAAAUCUUUAGACCCAUGUUACAUGAAGUAUUAAAUAUAGACGAAAAUAAAAACUAAUUGCACAGUUUGGCCGAAAUUGACGAGACGAAUCUUUUGAGUCUAGUUAGUAUAUGUUUGGAUAAUAUUUGUCAAAUACAAACGAAAAUGACACUAUUCUUAUUUUGCAAAAAUUUUUAGAACGAGUGACGAUGAUCAAGCACUCAUUGGUCUCUUAAAUACGCAAAAAGAGAUUUACGUAUUAUUGUAUUGAGUAAAAGAGUUUAAGGCCUUGUUUAGUUCACCAAAAACCAAAAACUUUUCAAGAUUCUCCGUCACAUCAAAUCUUGCGGCACAUGCAUGGAGUAUUAAAUAUAGAUAAAAACAAAAACUAAUUACACAUUUGCCCGUAAAUCACGAGAUGAAUCUUUUGAACAUAGUUACUUCAUGAUUGGACAAUGUUUGUCAAAUAAAAACGAAAGUGCUACAGUAUACCCACCCAAAAAUUUUUGGGAACUAAACAAGGCCUAACUAGACAUACGACACAUUUUCACCUAACACAACCGUAGUUGAACCAUCUAACAAUUUUUUUGUUUUGAUAUUAUAUAAAGGAAACAACCAUAACCGAUGCAGCGGUGCGACCUAAAAAAUGACCUUGCAUCUCUAUCGCCUUGGCCUCCGACGAUAUCAUGUUGCCAUCAAAGACCUUGUCAAAGGCCUCCACCUCCAACGCUGAUAGUGCUGAUGGAUCCUUGAUCGUAGCCCAUACACUGCAUGAUUAGCAUCUUAUCUCGCUUAGAAGCAGGUACUGUGGACAGGCUCUGAGCCGCCAACCAUUUGCUCUACCAUGAUAGUAGUGGCUUAGCAAGCGGCUACUUGGGAGGCUCACGAAUCAGCGGAGAAUCCCUCUUACACACCACCAUCUUAGUGAAGUUGUCUAGACAACGCUUGAAGGAGGCGUCUUUGUUAGGCCUUGUUUAGUUCCAAAAAGUGAAAAGUUUUCGGUACUGUAGCACUUUCGUUUGUUUGUGACAAAUAUUAUCCAAUUAUGGAGUAACUAGGAUCAAAAGAUUCGUCUCGUGAUUUACAGUUAAACUGUGUAAUUAGUUUUUGUUUUCAUUUAUAUUUAAUGUUUCAUGCAUGUGCCACAAGAUUCGAUGUGACGGAAAAUUUUGAAAUUUUUUUUGGUAAACGAGACUGGGUGUUCCUCGGUGCCGUACUUGGGUCCGUCUGCAAAGCAGCCCUCUUCGCCCACCAUGGGCGUAUCAACGCCCGAGGGAUAGCUGAACACCAACCACUUUUGACGUGACCUAUGGCUACCGCGUCACAAGGUGGUGUCAGCCGCGUCGUCAAGUCGACAUGCUAACACGGCGUCUACGAGCAAAUACCAAUGGUUUGGUGACAGUGGAGGCCACGUGAUGACCCAACUGUGUCAGCGAGCAAAGCCGUGUGCUCCACCAGCUUCGGGUCCUCCAUGAUGUCGUGAUGUACUGUGGCGUCCGUGUGCGGUGUUAACAUCAGCGGGUCGAGCUCGACGAGUCCCGCUGCGCCAAUCAGCUCACCAUGUAUGGCAUGGGCACAGGCCUUGCCCUAGGGGGCAUUCAAGCUGUGCUCCUGCACUAGGCCCUCGAACCCAAGGGGCCCUUCCAGGCUGAAGCUAUCCGCUACAUCUAGUGUCCAUGAAGUUGCUACAUCCAUACGUGAGGUGUUUUAGACUUUGUAAGUACAUUUUCCCAAUCGAUCUCAAUCCUUUUGUUGAUCUCAAUUUCAUAUAUUUAAUCAAUGUUUAAUUUGCUUUUUUUAUUUCAAUUUCUAUUCUUUAGAACACAAGAUUUGAGAUGUUUCUGCACACGCUGCAGCUAGGGCAAUGUGUGACCUUACACUAUUUAGUGAAUAAUUGUCGGUAUCUCAAUUUCUCAACUAGAUAAUGUACUAUCUCUGUUGAUUUUAAUGUUGAAUCUAGCACGGCAUAAUUUUGACAAACGUGUCGCCCAGUGCUGCUGGAACGUCCCAACCCAACGACCCUGUGAACACCACGCCUGAUGGACGUACGUGCAGCUAAGCCAAAGUUUUCCUAUUUAUACACACGUCAGUACGGUAACUGAUGGGGACACAGAAAACUAAAGAUAUAAUGCCAUAAUGGUCCUUUCUUAUUCAUACAAUGCAGCUAUCGUCCUACACGGACAGUGGUCCUUAUUAUUCAUGAAAUGCAGUACCGGUUGUCUCGCAAUCAAGGAGAUUGCAGACAGCAACCCAUUGUUUUACAAUUUCGCACCUUACAUCUACACCUAGAGACUAGCUAUUACAGUACGAACGUGUCUGUAAAUAAAAGGACAAUAAAAAUCGGUGGAUGUAACGAGAACUGUUGGAAUGUGAUCCUAAGGCAUUUAUUAUUUUGGCACGUAAUCACAGGUCCACCAAAUACUCACGACUACAAAUAUAUAUAUAUAGAGAUGUCUCGAUUUCUAAGAGCAACUCUGAGUUGGCAUUUAGAGUUGGCAUUUGUGGUUUUUUACAAAGUCCCAAAUACAAAUGCAAAGUUUAAAAAUAGGAGUUCUCCAAGGGACUUUGCAAAUCAAACUUGGCAUUUGUCUAGGUGGACCUGGCAAACAAAUUUUUUAGCGCGAACGAGUUCCUCGCGCCGCGCGCGGUCUUCUUUUUUCCCGCGAUCUUGUUUUCCCGCGCGCCGAUCUCCGGUCCUUCGCCGCCGAUCUAUUCAUGGCGACGGUCAAAGCGAUCUGUCGAAGCGAUCUAUUUGGCGGCGGCGGCGUGGGAGAGGACGAUGCAAGGCGGCGGCGCGGUCUGGAGAAGCGAAGGGACUGUGGCAACCUAUUUGUGGCACGAAGAAAAGUCCCACCGCAUGGGAGUACGUCGCGGCCACGAGAAACCCGCGGGUAUGCCGUUUGCCAAGCCAAGGAAAGUUUGGCAUUUUUGCCAAUUCUCCUCCUCCAAAUGCCAACUUGCAUAAAAUGCCAAACCAUUGGACCCCUCUUUUUUAGUUUUUUGGCAAAUUCUAAAAUGCAAAACCCAUUUGCAAACUCCUUUGGAGCUGCUCUAAUAGUAGCGGCUCAAUUUACAACCACCUCUUAAAAUAGUUCUAAAAAUAAGGUGCAUCCAAAAAUGAAUUUGUAAGAGUGGUUUGUGUUUUUAACCAUCUCUACAUAUAUCUCUAUUUUAGGAGAAUAUACUUUAGAUCCAACCGUAUGUACAAAUAGAGACAAUUGGAUCUAGAGCCACCUCUAAUGAUACGUGCAGCACAGCAAAAUUUAUUAUUUUUUGACAUGCAAGCUAUCCACAUCAACAAUCCACUAAAACUUGCAAUUAUAGCCAACUAGCACAUGUAUUAUGAUAGUUAUAUCUUCAUCUACUAACAUACAUUUAGCUGUUCACAUUGAUGUGUCAAACAAUUCAACAAAAUUAAUCUAAAAUAGUUUCAUUCAUAUAACUAUAAAUAGAAAUAGUCUAAUUUCUUUAUAAAUUAUCUGAAAUUCCCGCAGCAACGCACGGGGUAUUCUCCUAGUAUCAUAUAUAGAGAUGUCUCGAUUUCUAAUAGAAGCGGCUCAAUUUACAACCACCUCUUAAAAUAGUUCUAAAAAUAAGGUGCAUCCAAAAAUGAAUUUGUAAGAGUGGUUUGUGUUUUUAACCAUCUCUACAUAUGUCUCUAUUUUUGGAGAAUAUACUUUAGAUCCAACCGUCUGUACAAAUUAAUCGAGUAGAGACAAUUGGAUCUAGAGCCACCUCUAAUGAUACGUGCAGCACAGCAAAAUUUAUUAUUUUUUGAAUGAAGUUGGAUAAAAAUAAAAUUUAUAUCAAAUUGUAUAUCUAAAGAGAUCUACAACUUUGUAAUUUAUAUUUUUUUCAUUUGAGAUCAUUUGUAUCUAGCAAAUUAUGUUUGAAGUUCUCAUGAAUGGUCUCUAAUGGCCUUGUCAAAAUACCUCCUUCAUCAAAACGAUGUUCUUAAUCAAAAUAUCUAAAGUUUAUAUAAAAAUGUAUCAAUAUUUGUAAGAUAAAAUGUAUAUACAAUAAAUAUAUAUAGAAUUAUUAUAUAUAUAGGGAAAUUACUUCCACUAGUACACAGAGGUUCUAAGCCGGUGGGGGUAAAACAUUUGCACAGGCGGUUUUAGUUAUAAUGCGCCUGUGUUGUAAAUUUGUACGGCUAGAAUUGAAAACCAUCUGUAUAAAAGGCUCAGUAUAGGCGGUUAUUGUAAGAAAACCGCCUGUGUAAAUCCAUUAACACAGGCGGUUCACAUAAUUGAACCGCCUGUGUAAAUGGUUCAUUUACACAGGCGGUUCUGUUAUGUGAACCGCCUGUGUUAAUGGAUUUACACAGGCGGUUCACAUAACAAACCGCCUGUGAAUUAUCUUCCUAUAAAUAUCCGCAGCCCUCUUCUUCCUACUCGGGCAGAACUGUAGCUCGCAGCCACCUUCCAUUGCAGCCCAUCUUGGAGGUCUAGAUUUUUCAAAAUACAAGGGGGGAGGUUUUGAUCUUCAUUUCUUGGAAGGAGGUGGCUAAGUAAGGUUAGUUGAUGUCUCUAAUGCCUCUUUUUGUGCCCUAUUCCUCAAUUUAAGCUACUUUUUGGAUCUAGAGUUUCACCAUGAGAGGGAGAGAGUAGAAUAGCUAGGUAUGGUCUAUAUUUGCUCAAAUGAGGUUGCUUAAGAUGGUUAGAUGAUGUCUCUCCGGCACCAAAAAAUGAUGAUAAGACACCACCGCAACCAAAGAAAACAAAAUUCUCGGUCCCCAAAUUGGUUUCCCCGUACGAGCCAAAGAAGAAGGCCGCUGGUAAGGCCCUAUUUUUAUCCGGAAUUGCAAGGAGCCGCACUUCAAAACUUGUUGACUUGGCAGAGCAUGAGAAGGAGGGGUCAAAAAGCUUUGAAACACGUAUUGUCAAUAUCAGGCCACCAACGAAGGAUGAUUACAAAUUUGUCCCUACUAAAUAUGAGCCAGGCAGACCACUACUUAGUUGGGACAAACUCAAAAAGAUCCCAUCUGGUAUAAAAAGGAUGCAUGACUGGUAUAUGAGAGCAGCUUCUGUAGGCAUUCACACGAUCAAUGUGAUUAUACCACCAAAAGCAUUCAACAGUGAGCGUACAAAGGCAAUCGUUACCUUCGAGGACAUGUGGCUAAUGAUGAACCUCCAGAGACUAGACGUGCAGCUGGUAACCGUGUUUGCAUUGUAAGUGUCACUCGUACUAUCUUGUGUUAUUAUUCAUGAGUUGCAUCAAUUUUCAACAUCUAACAUACAAGUGCUCAUUGCAGAAUGAAUUUUAAACAACAAGAGAUGCGGUACGGUUCAGAUCCGGAUAGGUCUGCCAGUAAAAGGGUUGUGUAUCUGAGCCCGAUGAAGAUAUGUGAGGAGCAGCACAACUUCAGAAUCGGAGACAAACACGACUCCUUAGAAGGUUUGGACCCCGCUGAGCAUAAGAAGAUAAUAGAUGAAAGUCGACUAGAUUAUGAAUGUAAAUACGACCUCUACAUAGCCUUGGCACUGCUCAAGUAUCAAGAUCGAGAAUGUGUUGUUGCCCCAUACAACUUUGGGUAAGUGUCAAUUUGUAUUCAUCGUCGUAUUAGUAAUUUCAAUGGGCACUUGCAUCAUAAAUUCGAUUCUCUCAGGGACCACUGGAUCUGCCUCCUCAUUAAUCCUAGUCUAGGACGUGUGCUAGUCCUAGACUCUGCAGACUAUGAUCCUUCAAGUUAUGCAAAAUUCAUUACACACUUGGAACGGUAAGCUGAGUACAUUAAAUAUUCAUACCUACUUUUAUAAGAGUUUCAGAAUAACUUGAGGAUUGUGUAUUCGAUACUAUAGGGCCUCUAGUUAUUAUAAGAUCAAAGGUGGAAGGUGCGAUUCAUCAGAACCGGGGCAGCCAUUGAGAUUAUUUUAUAAAUGGCCGGUACGUACCAAAAUAUCACAAGUUGUCUUUUAUAAAUAUAAUAUGCAUAUGACGAUGUUGCAACUAAUAAAUAUCCACUUUUCUGUCAUACAUCAGUGCCAUAAGCAACUAGUCGGAUCGGUCCACUGUGGAUUCUACGUCUGCGAGUUCAUGAGAGAGACCGGAAGAUAUGUAACUAACCCUUCUAAGGUAUUGCUCUAAUAGUCGUUUAUAUUAUUUGUGUCAUUUUUUGUUGCUAAGCAUGUGUUAUAUGAACUAUAAAUUUAUGAUGUUUCUAACUUCCUCUUCAGCAACAUGAGUUGGAAAAGGCGAAGAGCAUGACUCAAGCUGUUCUAUAUAACAUAGUUGAGGACCUCUGCACUUUUCUCUUGAGAGAAGCCAUUCCCACCGAAGGGAAAUAACACGACCCGACCAGCGUCCUAGCAAAGCCUGAGUUUAGAGCGCUAAGAGAUAUUAGUAGGCUAAAGCUAUCUCAAUCGGGUUAUUAGAGCAGAGGUUUCAGAUGUGAAACCUCAUAUGUCUGUAAACAAAAAACUUUGAUGUGUGAUGUUUGUAAUUAAUAUAAUUUUAUGUACAAAGUAAUGGUAUAUAUAAAUAUAUUGCAUGUUGCAUUGGUUGAAUCUUCUAGCCUAACAUAGUUUCAAUAUUAAUGUAUAUAAUAUUAUAUAUAUAUAAUUUAAAAAUAGGGUUUGCAGAAAAAUUUAGAAUUGGGUUAAAUUGAAAAAUCUUACCACAGGCGGUUCUGUUAUGAGAACCGUCUGUAGAAUUUCAUUUCUACAGGCGGCUCCGCCUGUAGAAAUUGGUUUCUACAGGCGGUUCUCAUAAUUGAACCACCUGUAGAAAUGAAUUUCUACAGGCAGCUCUCAGUUGACCGCCUGUGGAAACUUUUAUUUCCACAGGCCUAUAGCCACUGGCGGUUCGUCAAUCCGCCUGUACAAAGGGGUUGCGAACCGCCUGUAUAGUACCUCUGUGUACUAGUGUUCAUACUCUUAGAAGUAGCUACUCCCAUGUCAAUAUCUUUAGAUUUAUGGUGUAUAUGACCAAACGAAAUGUAUGUAGACGAAGUAUAUGAUCAUACUAGACCAUCUAGGAUGAUAUAUGUCAAGUAUGUAUGCAUAUAUAGAAUAUAUGGCUAUACUUAUUAUAUAUACUACAAUAUAUUAAAAAAUAUGGAUUUCUUUAAAAACUUUUGCGUGGUAUGAUAUAGAGUAUCUUAAUAUAAGUAUAUAAACAUACUUAAACACAUAAACAAGUAUAAAGACAUAUGCAAUAUGGUUUAUUGAAAAUGGAAGUAACUACUACGGGUAGUACGAAAAAUGCACCCGGGAAAUUACUCCGUACUCCUAGGAGUAGCUACAUGUCUAUAUAUAUCUAGAUUUAUGGUGUGUAUAUAUAUGACCGGAUGAAAUGUAUGUAGAUGAAAUAUAGGUGGUCAAAAGUAUAUUUUAUACCUACGGUGUAGUAAAACAAUGGGGAGCCCAGCGCGUCUGGUCGUCCACUCGCUGACAUCUAGGUCAUUCUCAAUCUUUUUCCAAACAGAUAUGCAUACAGUAUAUAAGUCGUUUUCUUAAUUCUAAUAUAAUCACCGUAUAUAUAUAUAAGACCGGCAAGACAAACAACACGUGGCUGAUGUGACGCUUACGCAUGCAUCCUGACCAAACGACAGUAUACGAGCGUGAUACCCGCCGUACCAUGUUUGUCUGUUUCGUGGCCGGGCACGGCCUCAUCGCCACCAACUAACCCGCGGUCUCUUUCCCUCGCUCUCCAUGUCUCAAUCCCAUAUCGUCGCUUCGUCUAUAUUUCGGCUUCGCGUCUCCGUCGAUUUUGAGACCUCGUGUCGGCUCUCGCACGUUUCCUUAAAGCUUGAUCGAGAUCCCCACCUACAGUGAAUGAAAAUUAAGAACCUGUCGGGCAGCUGGCCGGGUACUUGAAGGCUGCGUUCUCACCUCCCAAUUUCUAACACACGAACUGUUGACGUGAAACAAGGUUCUCUAAAGUUUUAUUACACGAUUUCAUAGUUUAUUUUACUAUAUUUUUCUUUCAUUCCUAUCUUUUCUCUCUUUAUCUUUCCUCUCAUCCAUCUCUUCCGAUGAAACACCGGAGCUCCUCAAUGUGAGUUUCAUCCUCGUUUCCUAGCGUUGGAAAUGUCGUCCCACUCGUUUCGUGGCCAUGAAACGAAUUCCUUAUCUCUUCUCCUCAUUUCAUAUAGUUUGCUGAAGUGGCACACUCUUAAAUGUGCAUGAAACCUCUCAUGAAACCACAUUGAGACUAGCCUUAUGAUGCACUGUAUAAUACUCCUUUUGUUUCAAAUUUUAAUAAGUCGUUUUGACUUUCUUGAUUUAUCUAUUUUGCUAUGUAUCUAGACAUAUUAAUAUUUAGAUGCAUAAUAAAACAGAUGUACCAACAAAGUCAAAACGACUUAUAAUUUGAAAUGGGAGAAGUAGAAUAUUGUGCACUACUCCCUCCGUCCCAAAAAGAGUGACAUUUUUUACUUUUAGAAAUCGUGUUUGACCAUUCGUCUUAUUUUAAAAUUUUAUAUAAAUCAUAAAAUAAAUAAAUCAUUAGUAAAGUAUCUCUAAUAAUAAAAUAGGUCUUAACAAAAUAUAUAAUAUUUAUAUAAAAAUUUUAAAUAAGACAGAUGAUCAAAUAAGAUGUCUGAAAUUCUAAAACGACACUCUUUUUGGGACGGAGGGAGUAUGUAUGAUCUUACACUCCUAAGUUCCAAAUUAUAGAAAAUUUUGGCUUUUUGUAGGUAUAUUGUUUUUGGUAUGCACUCAGAUAUACACCAGACAUGUCUGGAUACAUAGUAAAAGAAAUAUAUGUAAAAAAUUCAAAACAAUUUUAUACUGCACUGUGUAAAGGGUUUUGGAACUUGUAACUAGCAGGAGCCGCUAAAGCAAGCGUUUUGGGCUCACUAGCAUCCCGCACUGCCGCUACUACAUAAAUCUUUUUUAACAGACAACUCACAUUUCAAAUAGAGAUGAAUACAUAAGGAGCCAUAUGUAACUAUGGUGAGGAGAACAUUAGCUCAUCAGCCACUUCUAGAAGUCUAUUUUCUAGAGCGGUUUCGUUAAGCAAAAUACCCCUAUAGAGAUAUCUCUAUUUGUAGCAGCGGUUUCAAGGUGCAAUUGUCUUAACCGAACCGCCACUAGAAAAACCAGAUUAUCAAGGGCAGUGUUGUCAAGAGAACCAUGUCUAGACAUUAUUAACAGGAGAGGUUCACUUAGUCAAUCUACAAAUACACGUCUUCCUUCUCGUGAUUGUAGUUCAUGCCAUUGUUGAGUUCAUUUGGAGGUGAGAAAUUACAAAAAUGGAGGGGGAGAUUUUUUUCCAUUUGAAUCUUCGAAAGAGUUGGACUUAAGAGGUAAGUUUAUGCCACCCCUAAGUCUUUUCAAAGUUAUAUAUAAAUACGUAACAAAAUUUAUGUACCAAAAAAGUCAAAAUGACAAAUAAUUUGGAAAGGAGGGAGUAUAAAUAGUUCAUGAUGAAUUAUGUAAGGUCAUCAUAAUUACAUCUAAUUCAUCCAUCGUCAAAAAAAAAUAAUCAUGACCAUAACUAACAGUAGUAAGUAAAAGUCACCACUUAUCAAAGCAUAAAAAGUCACAUGUGCAAAACAAAAUGUCAACAUCUCUUACAACUAUUGACGACCCUUCUACACCACCGCAUCAAUGUAUGUGAGCAAGGCACCACAUGGUUCUAAGGUGAAUGGAACCACUAUGCAAUGAUAGUGGGGACAAUAACUCAUACAUCAGCUACAUCAUUGUCAUCACAAUUGCACCCUCCCAUUGUAGGGGUGGAAACAUCAUGGUUGAGAAUCGCAACAAAAGCAUAUCUCAAAUCCUUAGCCACAUGCAACACAUAUCCAAUGUCGUGUGCUGCUAGCACAACCAAUUUAUCCUCAAAACAACAACGAUGUUAGUGGUUGCAUACACUAGGGCAUUCAUCACCAUCCCUUCAUCAGCAAUAGUUGGCCACUUUGGCAAUGAAGAAAGAAGGAUGACAAUCACAAGGAUGGAAAGAGUGUAGAUUUUGGAGGGAUGAGAUGAGAGUGUACGGAGUUGAGAGUCUACUUGGUUUAGCUUUGAGCUUUAAAAAACUGCUAUUAGCUGUGAGCUAUGGAAAAACUAUUGUGAGCUAUGUGCUAUGAAAAAGUUGUAAGUUGUUUGGUUGAAACAACUAUAAAACCUAUCCUCUCUCUUUAUCUUCCUUGAAGUACCUAUAAAACAUCUCUAUAUUUCCAUCCAUUUCAAAAAGCUAAAUGUUGGAAACCAAAAGUAGGGUCCAAGGUGGCGCAAAACCUAUACUAUAUGAAACUAGUUGUUUCUAGAAAAAGCAUCGUCUUCAGGUUCAAUCUGGUUUCCUGCAAAGCAUGGCACUAACUAACUUGGUGUUGGUGUUCUUUUGAGUUGCUACUUUAGUAUGACCUGCAACCAAAAAGGAAGUGAUGACAACUUGAGCUUUUUUUCUUCUUUGCUUGUGAUUGUGCUUGCUUUAGUCUUGUCCCAGAACUUGGCACUUUUGCUGGUUCAACUUCAGUAACUUCAUGCUCUUCAUUUCCUUCUUGUUCUUGUUCACCAUCUCCAGAAAGUGCCACAAUUCUAUUCCAUGUAUUCUUCUUCAGGUAAACAAUCAUCUGUCACUAGACUAUUGGAGGUGGUUUUGGGUACUUCACUAAAUCCCCAUAACCCCCAACAAGGUGCAUCUUGAACCGACUUAUUCGUGCAGACACUACCUUCUUACAGAAAAUGCACUGAACAAAUUCUUUCUUCGUAGGAUCUGGCCACUAGCCAUACUUCCAUCCUAGAUCUUGAGAUCGAGCCAUCCUCUUGGAAUCUUUAGCCUACUCAGCAAGUUCUGGAGGUUGUGCUGCUAUAGCCUUUUCUACUAGGGAUGAAACAUCUAGAGCAGCUGAGGAUGUUGAACCAGCACCAGCUGAUGCAACUGAUGAGGUUGCGGUAGCACCUCCUUCAGGAUUAGACUCAGGCAUAAUGACUUCCACUGCAAGCUGCCUCCUUCAAUUUUCAUCUACUCAAGUUCAACAAAGAGCCAAAGAAACAAAGCAUCAAGAUUUGAGCAUAGUGCAGUGGAGAGAAGAUGAUAGAGCAAAGCCGGUUUAAUCACUCACCUUUAGAGGAGGAGCUCAUCUUUGUGCUCCCUUGGACCUAUAGCCUCCAGGUGGGGUAGAAAGUAGGUGACCUUGCAAUUGUAGCAGAAGAGGCCAAGGGGGAGGAAGAAGCAGGCCACAUGGAAGAUGGAGGAGUAAGCAUCAAGGAGCAGCGGGCUGCUUUUGGAUUAGAACUGGAAGGGAGGGAGGAGGGAGUGAGAUGCAAGCUGUAGGCUUAGUAGAUGCACGAGUAGGAGCAGCAUGAGCGGACGACUGGAGUGGGAGUGAGGACUAAAGAGAGAGUGGGGGUGAAGUAUAUAAGGAAACCCUAAUUGGCCUGGCCCAAAUAAAUAUAGCUCAGGCCAAAAGUAGCCCAUCUUCUAAUUCGACUCUGAUCGGUCAGGAGACAUGAUCAGACGAUUAAUCAUGUUUAAUUGAUGAUUAAUCAGAUGAUCAAGAUUCUAAUCACUCUAAUCGAAUCGAAGGCCCUAAUCGAGUGCUACAUACUCAUAAGGACAAUUAAUCACGAUUAAUCGAACGAUCAAAAAACAUUGGUGGGGUCAACAUUGACAAAUCAACUGGCACCGGUAUUUUUGGAGUGUUGAAGAAGAAAUUAAUUCCAUCUACUCAAGCAACCAUUGCAUGACACCAUGACAUGUGGUGCUAGCUUACCAACAAAAUGGCAUCGUACCAUUGGGCAUACAAAUGUAUACCCUAAAUGUGUUGUUGAUGUUGCUGUGGUGCUGAACUGCUAAUUUGCAAUGGAACGUAGAGAAGAGGUUUGGUUCUUGGGAUGACAAACUACUAGCUUGUUCUAGGUCGAGACAUAUGGUAUUUAACCACAUCUCUUCAACUCUUCUUUUAUUGCUUUUAUCGAGAACAUGUGCGUGAACGCGUUUUUCAUUAAGAGGAAGUUUUAAUCAUUUACAAUAGAUACCGCACCUCCAAAGCGAGAAGCAUAGCAGGGGCCAUUACCUAGGGCCAACCCUAGGGGGGCAUGGGGUGUAACGGCCAAGGGCCCAGGCGAGGAAGGAUCCAAGCCUAGGUAUACAAAAUCCUAGUACCUUGGCCCAAAAAAUGAAGAUAGAAACGAGUAGUGCGAGUCGACCCAAGAAGCAAGAAGAUGAUUGGAUGGAGUAGGCGAGGAGCCGCGCUCUGCAUUACCGUAGAUUGCGAGUUGCUACUUGUGGCUUUCGUGUUCAACACCUGCCUCCCACUGCAAGUGCCUAGUUCUUGACUUGACGCUACGAUAGAGGAUGACCAUGCCACCAAGAGCAAGAACAAUGCACAACGGUCGAUAGGGCCAACAAGGCAGAGAUCCACCUCCACAAUGCUGAUCAGUUGUUGUGAAUUGUGAUCGCCAAUGUCAUUUAGUUCGUGUCCGGAGGCCCUAGGUAUUUUCUGUUUGUUUAUUUUUUAAUCCAAAUUAAUUAUUUAUAUAGUAUUAAGACUUCUAGUACUUUGUACUCAUAUAAUCACAUUUUUCUUCUAAUUUAGGUGUUAGAAUUUUAAAAUGUUACCUAAGAAACAUUUGGGAAAAGUUUAUAUGUUAUACAUUGUUUUGAUAUAAUAUGAUAAGUUUGAAUCUUACUAUUUGUGAUGGCAAGCUAUUUCUUUUUUUUAUAUUAUCCAACGUAUAUACACACUAUUUGUAAAAUCUACCAAAAGGUGGAAGAUUGUCCCAGGAUUAACAGUUAAGUCAUGGUCUAUAUACGCUAGGAAAGCUGAAUAAAAAGUGUUCAAGCUAUAAGAUUCCAAACUCCUCAAAUAAGAUCAACUCUAAUAGUGCUAGAGAAGGCUUCAACUGAUGAUCCAAUGGUAGCUAGUGAAUAUCAAUCUUUUGUGAGUGCACUUGAGAAUUUUGAUCUUUUAGUUGGUUUGGUUAUUUGGCAUGACAUUUUAUUCUCUAUAAAUAAGAUAAGGAAGAAGAGUUGCAUUCUAAAAUUCUGAGUAUAGAUGCUACUCUCAAACAUUGAAGGUAUCAUAUCAUAUUUUAAGAAGUAUAGAGAUGAAAGUUCACUUCUAGUAUGGAUACAACAACGUCAACAAAAGAGAAAUUUUUUUGAUGAAUAAGAUGACCAAGACGAGGAAUACAACAUGGACUCCCUUAGAAUAGAGUACUUCCUAGUUAGGAUCGAUGCUGCAAUUACUUCAUUGACUAGUAGAUUUGAGCAGAUGAAAGCAUUUGAUAAUGUUUUUGGGUACUUGUUCAACUUAGAAAAUUUGAAAUCCUUAGAUGAAGCUAAUCUUUGGUUGUGCUGCAAGAAUUUUGUGAAAAUAUUUUCUCAUGAUAACUCAUCCAAUAUUGAUAUCAAUGAUUUUUCAGAACUAAUGGUGUUGCAAGUGACUUUGCCAGAUUCUUUGAUAUCAACACCUGAGAUUCUGAAGUUUGUUAUAGAUGCAAAUUGCUAUGUAAAUGUUUCAGUUGCCUAUCGAAUUCUCUUAACUGAUCGUAGCUCGGGCUAAAAGAAGUUUACCAAAAUUAAAGUUGUUGAAGAACUAUUUGAGAUCAAUUAUAUCAUAAGAAAGGUUAAAUGGCUUGGUUAUGUGCACCGUCAAGAAAGAUAUCUUGGACACUAUUGAUUUUAAUACCGUCUUUGAUAAUUUUGCAUCAAGCAACGACCAAAGAAGUAUUUUUUUAUGAGAAGCAAUGGAUAAUAGAGUUCUAUUCUUUCUUAAGGUAAUCAUAUCAGUUCUAGAUAUACAAACAUAUUGUUUUUUAGUCUACAUUGUUUUUUGUUCUCAAUAAUUAUCAGACAAGUUAAAUUAAAUAUAUAUUAUUGGAUUUGUUUUUCCUUUGUAAAUACGAACUGAUCAUAGAUCAGCUGAUUGAUCAGCUGAUUGAGUUCCUUGUGGUGGAACCUGUCCGGUGGUUCAAGUCCCUAACUUGACAUGAGUGCUCGUAUUUUCUUGGAUUUAUUCCAGAUUUUAAUAACGCUAUGCUUUCAGUGGUAGGCGACGUGCCCCUCGAUAACGAGGUGCCUGUGGUGACUUCGUCAAUCUUGAGAUUUGCCGGUCCAACUCGGUUCUUCGGAGGUACUCAUAGAGGUGAGUGUGCGCUCAUGUUUGACUGUUUGUGAGCAUAUGCGUCUGUAACUGGUCUCCCAAAAAAAAAAUAGCCCCUAUAUGUUAUAAGGUUUCAUGGUCUAGGGAGGCCGUCACAAUGUGUUUGUCAGAGGGCGUCAAAAUCCUAGGACCGGCGCUGCCGUGACCACGCACAUGAUGCUUAGAUAAGCACCCAAACAUACACACACGAAUUUCGUAUCUACGUCGACGUCAUGACUAAUUUUGCUACUUAAAGCUAGGCCAAGGCACUCAAAGCAAGCUCAUGGGCGUGGCGAGGUCUCGGACACAAACGUCGAUCCACUGCGUCGCCUGCGGUCCGGAAACAGCUCGCGCAUCGCCUCCCGUUUGGAGCGACAACGGUGUUCUGAAUGUUUCGGAGAACCGAGUGACAGUCCUGUCUGAGAAGGUGCCGACAGUGUCUCAAAGCCCCAUUUUUUCAGUAACACGUUCUUCGCCUGGCCGUCCCGCGUGUGGCUUGUCCGCAAGGCUGGAGCUCCUUCGUGGGAUGAAGUCAGUACCCUGGGAACGAGAGACGCUAAGCCUUGGCGUGGAUUUGAUGAGCACCAAGAUUCUUCUUCUAUGCUAGUAUAUUGCACUAUGCAUUUAGGUGCAACGAUUCAUGCAUGACCCCUUGCAUAUAUUCCUCAAUGAAACUUCUUUCUGCUAGUAUAUAGAGAAAGGUGACGGUUCAGAAAGCAAUGGGCACGAAAAACGGAAAAAGGAGGUAUAGAAGGGGUGGUGUGGCAUCAAUUAAAAUAAUCAAUUAACCAUGUGCAUAGAUGUUGUACUAUCUCCAUCUCAAAUUAUAAGACAUUACAAAAAUUUUAGAGAAUUAAAGCAUCUUUAAGUUUAACCAAAAUUAUAGAAAGAAUUAUAAAGAUUUAUGAGAUCAAGUAGAUAUACUAUAAAAAUAUAAUUAAUGAAGAAUCUAAUGAUACUUAGUUAGUAUCAUAAAUGUUAUUAUUUUAUUAUAUAAAUUUGGUUGACUUUCUAAGAUUCUUAGAAUGACUUAUAAUUUGGUACGGAGGGAGUAGAUUUUUAAAACCAUAGGCUGCAUAAAACCAUGGUUUGGAGAAAAGAGGAGGUUCUCACAUGAAGUUUCUAUAGACCACCAGAAAGGCCAAGGUUUUGACAACCAUGCGUUUUAAAAAGUAUAAGCAAUUUUUGUUGCAUCCAAAUGAUGCGUAGAUAGCAAUGCAAAUCUAGUAUUUGAACAGCUAGGCAAAAACGUUUUGCAUCACCUAAGAGCAAAUUUAAUAAUACAGUCUAUUUAUUGGUUGUAAGGUUCUUUGUAGUCUUCUUUCAGCCUAUCCAUAUAAUAAUUAGCUAUUCGCUAUUAAUAUAUGGUCCGCUUAUCUCUCUCACAAAUUUUUUUUGUUUCCUAUAUCUAAGUUACAACCUGUUUCUCCUCUCUUUCUUGUGUCUUCUCUUCUUCACCUCAGCAUUUAGCCACACCGGAGGCAACUGUAAUACGAGCGGUAGUUGAGGCCUCCACGUCCUUGUGUGGGGCACACCACGUCAACAGGCACGUUUUUGGGUCUGGGUCACACAUCUGCAAAUUUAUCAGGCGAAGCACAUGCUAUUUAACGCACUGCACCCACAAGACGCAAAGAGGCAGAGAGAUCACCGAGAUCAGCUCUUUACACGUCCACCCACACACGCGUAGUACGUUUGGCGAUGGCAAAGCUCCUUGCCGCUGUCCUCGCCGUCGUCCUGGCGGCUCUCGCCGCCGGCACCGCCACCGGCAUGCUGUCGGCGGAGAUCGACGACGGCAUGCCGCUGAUCCACAUGCUGCGGCCGCUGCUGCAUUCCAGCGGCCACCUGGGCCGGCUCGGCGGCGUGCCAUGCGAUAGCUGGCGGUUCGCUGUGGAGACGGACACCCUGCGCGACUGGGAAACGGUCCCGGCCCGCUGCGAGAAGUACGUCGGCAACUACAUGCUCGGCGGGCAGUACCGCAGCGACUCCCAAGCCGUCGUCGACGAGGCCGUCGCCUACGCCGAGGGCCUGAAGCUCUCCGGCGAUGGCAAGGAGGUCUGGGUGUUCGACGUCGACGAGACGACGCUCUCCAACCUCCCCUACUAUGCUGAGCACGGCUUCGGGUGCGUUUUGUAUAUCUUGUUACUAGUAUAUAGAUUAUUAUAGAUUAAAAGGUAUAGAUAUAGAUUUAGAUAUAGAAAGUAGUAAAUAUAAAAUAAACAUAGAUAUAAUCAUAUAAACGUCUAUGCAAAUAUAUUGAUAUACCAAUAUAAUAAUAUAUACAAGAUUAUAACACACUAGCACUAUAGGAUUCUCGUAUUUUGCCGAGAGCCGGAGCGGUUCGGCAAAGAGCCCUUCCGCAUUCGGUAAAGGCUGAUUUUCCUGUAGAGGUCUCUCGGUAAAGACUGAUUUUAUUGCACGGCCAUCAGUAAAGAGGUCGACUUUCGGCAAGGUAUGAUUUUAGCUAACUGUGAACGACGCAUGCAGGUCUGAGCCGUACAACUCGACGGCCUUCGGCGCGUACACCAAGUUGGCAAACGCGCCGGCGUUGCCGGAGACGCAGCGGCUGUACAAGAGACUGCAGGAGCUGGGCAUCAAGCCGGUGAUCCUGACGGGGCGACGCGAGGACAAGCGGGAGUCCACGGCCAAGAACCUCGCCGAUGUGGGGUACACCGGCUACGAGAAGCUGCUGCUCAAGUACGCACCUAGUGCCGUUGUCGUCGAUUCCAUCGACCUGCUGCCUUUAUUAUUGCUUAUUGUGUUCGUUUCUACCACCAAAAUAAAAAAAAAAAAAAAAACUGUGAGAAUGCGUGUGACGAUCGGGCGUAUAUAUAUAUAUAUGCAGGCCUCAGGACGCCAGGGUGACUGCGGUGGAGUUCAAGUCCGGCGAGCGGAAGAAGCUGGUGGACGCCGGGUACGUCAUCGUCGGCAACAUCGGCGACCAGUGGACUGACCUCCUCGGCGAGCCGGAGGGCGAUCGCACGUUCAAGCUGCCCGACCCCAUGUACUACGUCGGCUAGCUCUUCGAUCAUAUGCUCUUCUACAUAUAUAUAAUACCCCGAUCAGGGCUGGAGCCAAAGCCAACAGCAGCAAACGAACGGACGCGCGCCUGAAUGAAUAAUAAUUACUGUUCAUCAGUGUAUCAAAAUAAAUGGCCUAAUAAUUAUACGGCAAAGGGAUAUUAUUAUAGAGUACUGUAUGCUUUGCCCUGUGGCUUACAAUCAAACCCAGUAUAAUAUUUCAGCUGACUCGCUUGCCCAAGUUACAAAAACAGAACAAAAAGCGGUUCAACCUUAGGUGUACUCUGCUUUGCACCGCAAAGACGAAGGGAUGGUUUGUCACAACACAUUGGUCAAAGAGUUUUUCGAAAAAUGAUACUCCCUUCCAUCUCAAAUUAUAAGUCAUUACAAGAAUCUUGGAGAGUUAAAGCAUUUUCAUGUUUGACCAAAAUUAUAUAGAGAAAUAAUAAGAUUUAUAACAUAAAGUGAUUAUACUAUAAAAAUAGUUUUUUUAGAGGACUGGAGGGGCUUUCGCCCCUACAAAUAAUUUAUUAAAAGAAAAAGACAGUACAACUAUAGAAACAUAUAUCUACAAUAAAAAACAGAGAAAACAACAGGAUCCACUCAGGGAACCUUAAAAGAAACAAAAAACACAGCAGAAAGAGACUACCAGCUAACCAGCUACCAGCUAAGCAACAGAGGAAAGCCAUUGAAGAAACGAAUGUUCAGAUCUUGAAUUUACUCUGAACUUGAGCACUUUGAGCUCCUUGAUGAAGCUGGUCCUGCUAGAAGAGACUUGGGGCUGAAUGUUGUCAAAAAUAAAAGCAUUCCUGGUAGUCCAAAUUGCCCAGCAUAAGAGAAUUAUAGACUCCAUGAAGAACCGAGAACCAAUUGCUCUUUUAGGAAGUGCAUACUAGAAGGCAUUUCUGCAACUGCUGGAAUAUCCACACCUAUUGAUUGCCAACAUUGCUUGGCAAAUUCGCACUGAAGGAACAAGUGAUGGACUGUUUCUUCGAUACCCAGAUUACAUAGAACACAACUGUAUAAUUGUAAAGCCAUGUUUUUCCGUCUCAAAAUAUUCCUUGUGCUGAGCCUAUCUUUCAAGAGCAGCCAAAAGAAAACCUUAUGCUUUGGCUGACAAAAGCAGUUCCAUAUCCACUGUAUGGACUGAUGGUGGUGGGACUGUCCCUUGAUGAACUUGUAUGCCCUCGACGAAGAGAAGUGCUGGCCCCACUGAUAUUUCCAUUUGUCGUUAUUCUCAUUCAGGUUGAAGAAAUCCAUCUCUUGAUGAAGUGCUUGUAACUGAUUAAAAGCUAUUUCUGACAGAGGCAAGUUUAACAGAUGUGUGAAGUCCUCUUCUACCCAUGCUUUUGCCACUGAUAUUGCCUUUGUUUUUGCAAAGGAGCAUAAUUCUGGGAAUCUUAUUUCCAAGCUCUGUUGAUUCCAGCUAUCCACCCAGAACAGACAUGUCUCACCGGAGUUUACUUGAAUUUGAACCACCUGUUUGUAAUGCUGUAAGUUUUUCAGGUUGUCUCUCCACCAAAAUGAUCCUUUCUUGGAAACACCUGGUAAUUUCCCAUUUGGAUAGUGCUUUUCCCAAACAAUCUGUACCCAAGGUAUGUCUUCCUUAUUGAAAAAUUUAUGCAGAAUUUUCAUUAGAAGUGCUUUGUUUUGUUUCUCAAUGUCUAUUACUCCUAGUCCUCCUUCCUGCUUUCCAAUACAGACCAUUUCCCAAGCUGCUUUUGGCUUCCCUCUUCCAUUAAUGUCUGAUCCCCUCCAAAGGCAAUUUUUUCUAUAUUUAUCAAUUUGCUUGAUUACUGUUUUUGGGAGUUCCAACGAGCACAUGUAGAAUGUGGGUAGAGCUGAAAAAACUGCAUUUGUUAGCUCUAACCUUCCAGCCUGAGUUAGAAAAUUGGAUACACUUAACAAUCUUCUCUCACAUUUACUGACCAGGGGUAAGAAAUCCUGAACCUUUGGUUUGGUUAAACCCAAAGGCAGACCCAAAUAAGUGAAUGGUAAAGUCCCCUUGGAGCAGCCAAAAGUUCUAGAUAAGUGAUCAAGUCUUUCCUCAGACAAGUUGACUGGUAACAUCAUGGAUUUUCUAUAGUUUACCUUCAGGCCAGUACAAUUGGCAAAGGUGUUAAGCAGAGAUUUAAGAAACAUUAACUGUCUUGAGUCUGCCUCCAUGAUUAUCAAGGUAUCAUCAGCGUAUUGCACUAUGGGGAAGUCCAGAUUAGAAUUUAAGGGAAAGGGCAAUCUUAGCAGACCUAAAUCCUUCCCUUUAUUGACCAAAGACUGAAGGAAAUCUGCUGCUAGGACAAAUAAUAAGGGAGAUAAGGGAUCCCCUUGUCUGAGUCCCCUUUUGCAAUUAAAAGCACCCCGUUCAGUAAAACUGUAGAAGUACCGGACUCAAAGAUUUUCCUCAUCCAUUUUAUCCAUAACUGGCCAAACCCCUUGGUCUGCAUUAGGAUUAUCAUUGCUUCAUGUUCUAUUUUGUCAAAGGCCUUUUCAAAGUCAAGCUUUAAUAUAACGAUCUCCUUUCUAGAAUGGUGACAAAGGUGCAAAUAUUCAAAGGCCCAGGCAAGGCAAUCUUGGAUUGUUCUUGAUCUAAUAAAACCAUAUUGAUUUUUGUGAACCAAUUUUGUGACGACAUUCUGCAGCCUAUUAGCAAGGAGCUUGGUGAUGAGUUUAACUGAUGAGUUCAAGAGAGAGAUUGGCCUGAAGUCAUUAGUUGUGACUGGGUUUUCAUUCUUGGGCAGUAGAGUGAUAAAGGACUUGUUGAUGCUCCUAAGACAAAUUUCUCCACUGUGAAAAGAAUUACACAAAGCGUAGAAGUCUUCUUUGAUCAUUGCCCAACACGCCUUAAAAAACUCAUUUGUGAACCCAUCAGGACCUGGUGACUUAUCAUUGGGAAAAGCUUUUACCACUGCAUCAAUUUCCUCGGUAGUAAAGGGUUCUUCCAGGAAGGAGAGGCCUUCAGUGACUUGAAAAAAAUCCUGGGGUCUUACUGAGAAACCAGUAAAAACUGAUAUAGCCAACCUUUCCUUAAAUUCAUGCCAAAUGACUAAUUCCUUUUCUUGAUGGGAAUGCAGAAUAACACCUUGUUCAGAGAGUAGAUGUUUGAUUAGGUUGCCUCUGUGUCUGAUGGAGGCGUUAGCAUGGAAGAACUUUGUAUUUGUGUCACCUAGGGUUGCCCACUUGAUGGCCCCCCUCUGCCUCCAGUAGAUUUUCUCUUGUUCAAGCAGCUCAUUGAGUUUAAUUCUGAGGAGUUCCCUAAAGUUCCAUUCUGACAAUGAAAGAUCUCUAAAUUCUUCUAAAAUUUCCAACAAGAAGAUUAUGCUUUUAAUAUUGGUAAUGCUGGUCUUUAAGUUUGGAAUAGAGGCCUGCCAUUGUUUGAGAUUUUUUCUUAGGUUCUUGAACUUAGCUGUAACAUUCUUUGCAGGGUCAACCUGAUUAGUGGGAUUGGCCCAGCUUUGAUUCAGAAUAAGCCCAAAAUUUUCCUGUCUUAACCAGUAGUUCUCAAAUCUAAAAGUGCCACUUUUCGGGAUGUGACUGGAAAUACUGAUGAUGCAGGGACAGUGAUCUGAAGGAGACAUAUCUAAGGCAGUCAUUGUUGUAUUAGGAUAUUUGAGAACCCAAGAAUUCGAGGUGAAUGCCCAGUCUAAUUUUUCCAAAAGAGGCGAAGUCUGCUUAUUUGACCAAGUGUAUUUUCUCCCCUGGAGAAAAAUUUCAUUGAGGCCCAAGUCACUAAUCACUUCAUUGAACAUUAAAAUUUCUGCUAAAUUUGCACCCUCUUUGUUUCUAUUUUCAGGUCUUCUAAUCAAAUUGAAAUCCCCUAAUACCAGCCAAUCCAUUUCUUCUUCCACCUGGUAGUCUUUUAACCAUUCCAAAAAAUCUAAUUUCCCUUCUGACUGACAGGGGGCAUACACAUUGGUCAGUAGCCAGGGAGUGUCAUCAUGUUGAGCCUAAAAUUUUAUUGAGAUAGCAUAAUUGUUCGUGAAAACUAAAUCUCCUUUGAAAACUGAGCUUUUCCAGGCCACUAGCAAACCUCCAGAAGCCCCAACAGAGGGUAGAAAUUCAAAGAGAUCGAAGCUAGCAGGGCAAACAUUUUUAAUGAAGGCUAGGUCCAUAUUUUCUUUCUUUGUUUCUUGAAAGCAAAUCACAUCACAGGCAGAAUCAAUCACUUUAUCCCUGAUGGAAUCCCAUUUUAGACGGGAGUUAAUUCCUCUAACGUUCUAACUCAUAACUUUCCAGGUUCUAUUAAGAUUUGUAUUCAUGGAGCACAAAAGGUUGGACACUGAAUUCUGGCUAACAGACACCUGAGCCAUCUGAAUUGAUCAUAGUUCUGACCCCACAAAGUAGCCAUAGUUGUUGCCCUUACAACAGAAGAACCAUGAGUCACAGGUUUAACAGAAAAGCAAUACAACUGCCAGGGCGACCUAACCAAACUUAGCAAAAUAAACAUCUCUGCUACUGCUUGAUACAAGACAAAAACUGCAAGAGACAUAGUUGCAGCUGAGCUAAACAAGCUACUCAGGGACCACAUCCUGGUUUGGAUCCUGCUGUUGUUCUUCCUCAUAGUUGGAAUCAUCAGUAUGACCCCCUUGUGGCACCCUGGUCUUCUUGGGAGCAAUUAGGCUACCUUGCCUCCUUUUUUUGUUUAGGUUCUCUUCUGUAACAUCAUCCUGUUUCAACUUACAAAAGUCAGUGCCCAACUUUUUGAGACUCUGGGUAGGAAUUAUUGGAGGGGUUAGGCAACAUGUUGAGCAUUUCUUGGUUGGACAGGAAUUACUUUUGAAACCUCUAUUUACCUCUCUGAGUCUGCUGCUCCUUCUGAGUUGACUAUCCACCACAGGAGUUCCCUUUCUGUUAAUCCUCUUCUUUGGUGGAGUAAGAUUUUGGGGGAUGAUGGCCCCCUCCCCCUCCUGCUUUCCUGAAGAUCCUUCCUGAUGAUCUAUCACCAAAAGUUUGCCAGGACAGGAAGUUUCAUUAGAGGGACAGGAAUCAGGGAGGAAAAAAACGAGCUGAGGACCAUUAGCCAUAAGAAUUUCACUUGCUUUGGAGGAAAGGAACUGCUUAGCCCAAGAAAAGUGAGUUGGGGAGAGCAACAAGGCAGUAAAAAAAUUGGCCCACUGCUGAGAGAUCUUAACUUGGUAACUACUGGUAUUACCUUUAGAGAGAAAGGGUGACCAGAGAUUCAUGAGGUCCAUUUUCUUGCUAUUUUCCAAGUUCAGAAAAUCCUGAUCAGCCCCCUGAUUGGCAAUUGUCAUAAACACCACCUGCAAGUGUGCAUUUUGACCAUGUUCAUUGAUCUUCAUAGGGUCUUGUUCAUUAAGAGGCUCCUCUUGACCUUGACCAAGCAUCUGUGGUAAAGGCCGCCCAUCUAUCUCAUGCUGAGCCCAUAUCUCCUGCUGAAACUCAUUGUCAUUCUCAACUAGGUUGGCUUGCUCCUAUUGAUUUGGUUGAGGUUGCAUCUGCACAUCUAAAACUUCCUGUAUAGGGCCCAAAGGUUGAGCUAUCUCUUGAUUAAGAGUUUCCUCUUCUACAAUUUGUAACUCAAGCUGAUCAAAGGGAAUUUCUCUCCUAUGACAUCUUCAACUGGUAGUGCAGGAAACUGAACAACUUGAGGCACUACUGGGACAAGUGGUUGUACCAUAUGCUGAACUGGCUCUAGCUCUAGCAUUGGGUUUUGCUGUAGAGGCACAAACUGCUGAGGGAUGUUUUUCUCUAUUUCUUCUCUAACUUCUUCUAUCUGAAAAUACCCUUCUGGUGGAUAAGCUGGGUGGAUAAAUACUUCAAGUGGAUCCACCUCAAAGGGCUGAUUAAGAUCAAUGUCCAUUUGCUGUUGGGGCUCUAGAUUCAAGUCCUGGACUUGUGCUUGUUGGGCCAUUUGCCAGGGGUUUGCUUGUUGUAACUGAAGCUAGAGUUGAUCAUUUGGUUGGUCUUGCUCUUGCUGCUGUACAUUUUCAUCUUGCUGACCACCAAUAUCCUCCUGGUGAUCUUCCUGGUGUUGCUGCACAACAGGUUGACCCAGGCCAAAGAAAUCAAAAGGAAUCACAGGUUCCAUCUCCAAUUCAUCUGGGACAGGUUCUUCAAUAGGAGGGGCUUGACCCAACUGGUGGUGUUGUAGGACUUCACACUGAAUGGUCCAAGAUUCAGCACGCAGAUCCAUUGAAUCAGAGUAAACUAUGAACUGAGGAACUUGUUGAAUACUAGUCACUCUAGCCCUAACCAUAAUCCUCCCUGGAAACUUUUCACUCUCUUCCCAAAGUACCACCUUUCCAAAAUCAUUUACUGCAUUUUGGAUGUGCCUUUCAGAUUUAUAAUCCUCCGAAAAACCCAGCAUUAAAAUCCAACAUUCCUCAUUGAAAUAAACCCUCCUCCAGUUUCUACCUUCAUUAUGCUUAACAAAUGAAAUCUGAACAUUUCCAAAGGGAAAAGGACUAUUUCUAACAAGAGCAUCACGGUGGUAAGCAUGAUUGAAACGAACAUAGGCUUGACCAAGAUGGCAUGGCAUGAUAUCUCUAACUCCCAUAUGCUGCUCAAAGAGGAACUGCCUGAUGACUGCUCUAACAUUGGUGAAGUUAAGUUCAUUACCAGGGAGAGGAUCGAAGUUUACGAUCGCCAGGUCCUCAUUGGCGGCUGGCGGCCUCAUCGGCGCAACCGCUCUGCUCAUGAACACACGAUCAGGCACUUCCUCCCAAUGGAAGCCAGCUGGAACAAAUGGCGUCGGGUCGGCCCUCUGGUAUGCCAUGGCCGUCUCUCCAGGUGAGCUCUCCCGCCUAGCUUGCAGAUGAGACUGUAGCACUUGAGUGGAGUUUUCCUGGUGCUUAGGCGAGGGGGGCGGGGAAGGCGAGAAGCCAAGUGAGAGUUGGAGAGGAACAGCCACCGUAUUAGUGGGAGCAGUAGUGGGCUUUGGCCCUCUGUGAGCAUUAAACUCAGGGUUGAUAUCCCGAGCGGCCCAAGUUGGAGAAAGGGAAAGCCUAUGCCCCAUCUCAGCAAAUGAAGUGUAGACUGGCGGGUUUGACGAGGAAGGCCCAGCUGCCGCAAUAUUGAACCAAUUGGUAGCGUGAACACUGUUCACAACAUUUUUAUUACGGGUGAUUACAAAUCCCUUGUUAUCCGGAGUUCUGAAACGGCAAUUUACUUCCGUGUGACCCCAGUCCAUGCAUGACCAGCACCUGAUUGGCCUACGACAAUCCGCUCUGACAUGAUCUUUUGACAAGCAGCGUGCACAGGUGGCUUUGAUGACCUGGUGUCUGACAGUAUCUUUAGCAGAUAGCGCUAUCUGGCUGCCCUGACCAAGGACAUCGGACGGAGGUUGAAGACGAUCAAAGACUGAUCGUCGGCGAGAAGAGGAAUCCUGCCUGGGCUGCCCGAUUGGGACACAGUUUGCCCCGGUGAGCAGCGGAGCAGGUUGCGAUUUGACGACCUCAGCAAAGGUUUUACCGAGACGAUCAAAAGCAGAGGUGCGAGUGUUGGAUGCAGCAGGAGCUUGAGCUUUGGAAACAGUUCUCCAUGAACGUGCUUCUUCAUCAAGAAACCGGGCAUAUUCUUUACGCCAAUUUGGUCCGCCGUUUCCCCAAGGAUGGAAGCUCAGCGAGUAAGAGUCACAGAAGAAAGAAUGAAGGUUGAGAAUGUGAAAUCCCACCUUCCUGGAGGCAACGAAGAAUUUAAAAGUGCGAUUAGCGAGAGCAGCGACUUGGAAAUGAGUGGCAAGACCACCAACGGUGGCCUGAAGGAUCUGACCGACCGAAGCGGGAUCAAGGCAAAACUUGCAGCGGCCGAAUGCCACAACCAAGGCAAAAGAAGAAGAACCGAUGAACGGAGAGGAAAUCUGCAGACCCCAAAGCUUAAGAACUUCUUUCUGAACGCUCAGUCCCGGCGCGAAGGACAAACGAUCCAGCGCCAUUGAAGCCAGACACGAACAACAAACAAUCUAGGGGCCAGGGCGACGAGACUUACAGACCAGAGUUGUUCUGCCCAACACAGGGUGACGAAGAAGCAGCCAUUGUAGAGCUGCCGCACCCCGCCGCCUUCCUCCUGUAUAGCCAGUCAAGUCGUCGCGAGACAAGUUUUUGAGUCACGCCAUCGGCCGUCAGCCCGUCACCACCGGCUCACAGCUGCCGGUCUGCCGCGCCAUCGCUCCGCUCCGCCGGAUCAGCCCGGAGCCGCACCCACUCCGGCCUCCGGUGCUGCCUGCACGGCCGCCGACGCCGCCUUGCCCUGCUGCGGCCUGCGCGCCUCCGUCGCCGGCCCCCAGCCGGCAGCCGGACGCCGCGCGCCUCCGCCGUGCUGCGCCCGGCUCGGCCUCAGCCGAUGGACAGGUACGCCUGCCGGACGCCGCCGGCGAAGGUCAGCGUCUCCUCGACAGUCGUAGGCCUAUUACUAUAAAAAUAGUUAAGGAAGAAUCUAAUGAUAUUUAGUUGGUAUCAUAAUAGUUAUUAUUUUAUCAUAUAAAUUUGAUUAAACUUAAGGUACUUUGACUCUCCAAAAUUAUUGGAAUGACUUAUAAUUUGGGAUGGAGGGAGUACCAUCUAUAUUUGUUCCGAGGGCGGGUAUAUCUUUUAUGAUGUGGAGGGGAGAGAGAGAAAGAGAGAAAUGUGAGAAAAAUUUAGGACUAUAAGACACAUAAUUCACCAUCGUAUGAUUUAAUACUGUCAUGCAGCUCACAAACUUUUCUUUGCUGACUACACAAAUUAUGGAUAAAUAGAAGACAGCUUAACAGACAAUCCAUUGUAUAUGAUGGUUGUUCAAUUGCCCCAUAUUUACUGGCACUGCAUGGGACAAUCUAUAAGAUAAUACCAUUAUACUUGCCCUUGGUUCAAUAUCUAUAAAACUAUAUAUAAAGUAGAAUGAAAAGGCUUUAUGCAUUAUUCAGAUAAAGGUACUAUCUUUAAAAAAUGUUGUCAAUCUAAAUAAAAUAUCAAAUGUUUAUGGUCACAAUUUAGAAACUUGAACUUAUGAAAGGUAUAUUCUAUGUCUUCAUACGGAGAUGACAGUUCUUCCUGCGGAAGGAGGAAUAACAAAAAUGAAAGAAAAAUGUGCAGUUGAAGAUGACACUUCAACUCCAACAAACGAUGUCAAUCAAGACAUGAGAAAACAUGAAAGGCUACCAACGAUUGAAUACCUAAUCAUUGAAGGUUUGCUUUUGUUGACACCGUUUUCUGGCACGUGUCAAGAUAAUCAGAAUGGACUAAUCGGCAGUAGGAAAUUUGUUGUAUUGUACUAACAGAAGGGUGCCGAUGAAGAUCAGUCGAUGGAGAUUGUUGCCGAUAAAUGGUGGUGAUCGAUGGGAGGAUUGUCUUUUGACUUAAACUCAGAGGUGUUGUUAACAAGAUCGGAGAUGGCAUUGCCGAUGACGAUUAAAAGACUAUUGUCGAUGAGGCUUAUGAUGAUACAUUGCCGAUGUUGAUGAAGAAAGACAUGGAGACUACUGCUGGUGAAGCUUACGAUGACAGAAAGCAUGCCGAUGGAGCAGAAGCCGAUGAAGAUUUCAUCGUAACUAAGGCGGACGUGAAAGUAGAUAGGUGUUGUUUUCCUUUUCUAUAUUUGUUAGAGUAUGAUCUAUGUAAGAGACGUGUUUUACUUUAGAUACGGAUUCGGUGUCCUAGUCGUAUUUGGUUAUAAUUCUUCGAGUCAGGGUAUAAAUAUAGACCAAGGAACAAUGUAAUAGGAGACUCAAUCAAUAUCAAUCCAAGUUUACUCCUAUUUUACAUCUAUUUACUUUUCGGCGACUUCGUCAAUUUGCAUAUUUUCUUUUUACGAGUUCUCAUCGAUUCGACGAGCUGCAUCGCUUCAGUGCGACCUUCGACGAUCCUCAAGUUCCGUGUGAAUAUCUCUUGGCCGUGGCUUCCGGGCGCAUCGCUGUUGUCAGGACCAAAGUGCUCGAGUUAUCAUCCUUGUCGAUUAACACGUCAAAUCGACUGGCACGUCCUGGAUAUCGGAUCGGGUAUUAGUCCUUUGUGUUUGUAGAUCCACUUUUGUAUCAACAACUUUUUCAUUCGGGUCUCCCAAAAUUCUAUUCCAACCUCUGCAAUAGUUUUGCACUCAACCAAUACAUUAUUACAGCUAAGCCUUAUACUAGAUUUAAAGAGCUCACAAAAAGCAAAAGAAAGAAAAUGACACCGACAAACUAAGCACUAAGCCUAAUAGAAGAAGUGUUUGGCAAAAAUCAAUAUUGUCGUAAUUUCCAACAUUCGAUAAUACUCAUUUCAUCAUAGGUUUGGUUUCCUCUUUCUGCAGGAUGGACCAUGAGCGCAUCCAGUGAGUAGCCCAUAAAAUAACUUGUGAAUAGAAGUAUAGCGCUUUAUUAUAAAAAAAUUGCAUCAUUUCUAGACCGCGACAAUAUCACCUCAAUUUCAAGGAUUUAUUAUAAAAAAAACAUAAAACAAUGCCAAACAAAUCCCCUCCAUUGUAGCUACGCCUCGCUGUCCAUGCCACAAACAUCCAUGACCCCACUUUUAUGGUGUUGUUUAGCUGUACUCUAAUCCACAUCUCAAUUCACGUCCUCUCUCUGUCCCUAAAAGCUGCAACUUUUAGAAUUAUUAUAACUCAAACUUUUAUAAUAUUGACCAAAUUUAUAGAAAAAAAGCUAAAAUUUAUAGUACUAAUUAAUACCAUUAGAUUUAUUAUAGAAUAUAUUUUCGUAAGAUACUUAUUUUAUGUCAUGUCAUAGAUAUUGAUACUCUUUUUUAUAAAGUUGGUCAGAGUUAUAAAAGUUUGACUGACACAAAUUCUAGGAGUUGAAGCUUUCAGCGACAGAGGAAGUAUAUUAUAGUGGAUUAAAGUUGAGCCAAACCAUAACAUAAGAUUGUUGCAAUAUCACACUGCUUGAUUCCCGCAUUUCCAAAACUCUAAUACCUUGCAACCUUGAAAAUGAAAUGGAUACAAAAUUUAAAAUAAUUAUUGAGCAUAUUCCUUCGGUCCCAAAAUAAAUGAUUUUAUGAGAAAACACAGACAAAUUAAGGACGUUAGCAAAAGACGUAUGUAUCUUUGUCUCCGUUCCCUUUCCGAAUGAUAUCUCCUCUUACAUUUGGCACCUAUCAUUUGCAUGCAUCUGAGAUUAAAUUUCAUAUUAUUUUAGAAUGCUAUUUUUUAAGGAAUAAAUUUUAAAUCUCAAAAAAAUAAUUUAUUUUAAGACUGAGGGAGUACAUUGUUGACAAGAGCAUAUAAUGGUAUAUUUAAUUCAUGUAUUGUUAUUAGUAUGUUACAAUUUAAGUUGCAUUAUUGUCGACAUGAUUAGUUGUUACGCUGUUGCCAGCUGACGAAAAGUCAUGGCUAAAAAUAUUAUUCGCUAAUUUAUUAUAAGAAAAAAUAUUAUUGGUUGAUAAAAAAAAAAGUAUGGACGGGCUCAAUCAGUGUAAGUACAUUAUAGCACGUCCGCAACUCCUACGGUGGUACCGCACGCUGUUCCCUCCUCCCUGCUCGCCGCUUCCAAUCAUGGGCUUGGGAUUGGGAGCAUGGCCAUCAGCGAAGAUGCCGCGGAGAAAAGGCCGGAAGAGGCUGAGAAAUUGGAGAGCGACAGGGCGAACAGCCGCACAAUCACAAUUCACAACUCAAGCUACUCUUGCAUGCCCCGCAGCUUUGCAUGCGCGGAUUAAUUGUAGCCCUUGAUCGAGUCCUUGGGCCACGAACUCAGGCAGGUCCACAGACAAAAUUGGCAAGUGGCCUUGUUGCCGCACUGAAAGGCCCGUUCCUAGCCCAAAAUUAGCAUCCGUAUACACUAUAUCAAGGAAGUAUAUAUAUAUUUUCCUCAUUAUUAAAAAAACAAAAAAGGAAGUAUACAAUCGGUCUCUUCUGGCAACUGAUUAGUGGGAGGACCGGAGGAGGCACAAUGCAUGGCACGUUCCAGAGACUCAAAGCCAUACCUUCAAUUCAACAGGGUCAUCAUUUAUAUCACGUAGAACAUUUGUAUAGAAACGCAACCAUUGUAUCUUCCAAAAUUCUAGCGCAUCAAGUGACCACUAGAGCCAAAAAGGAUAUUAAAAAGAGGAGGGAUUUCCUAAGAUGUUGCUAAUCUUGUAAUUUCUUUGUCCCUAUGUCAUUUCUAAGGGGAAUUUUCUCAUUUGUUUAACCCCUCUUCACCCUCAUUAAGUAUAUAUGGUGUGACCCACCAUUGUAAACUAAACCUUUUUUCCUUUUUAGCGCUCAUUUCCUAUGUCAAAAAAAAGAGAAGAAAAAUUGGGUGAGCAAGCUGACAUAGCUCUAACAAACCCUAGCGUGACUGUGGUGAGGGCGAGGGCGGGGUCCACGACAAGAGCGGGGUGUUUGAUGGCAGGCCGGCGCUGGCAAGGAUGAGUAUGUGCAAGAAGGGAGUGCGGCGCAAGGAGGAAGAAGGGCCGCGCCCUCCCAAGCACGCGACCCAUUGUGGCAUGGCAUCCUUUAUUUAACACAUAGGAAAACACGUAUAACAUACGUGUUAAAUUACGCAACCAUCAUAUCUACUAAAUACAAAUACCAUCCCAGGCUACGAAAAAUAAAAUGCAGCUGUCAUAACCUUUAUUGACAAAUCGACAGCUCUCCACAUAGUCAGCUUUUAUUUCCACUCAGCUCAGGAAAUUAACCUUUAGGAAUUAAUGAUAACAUGCAGCGGUCGUAAAAUAAGAAGGGAAGGAUAUAACAAACAACAAAGAGCAGUUCAUCACAAACAGCACAGGCAUUGCAACCGGGCGACGGAUCGAUCGAUGAUGGGCUGAUGGAGAGCCGCUGCGAUGGAUUAACAAUUAUACGGAGGCCAACGUGGCAUCAUCGCUCAAUUAGCCAAUGUAGUAGAGGGGGUCAGGCAGCUUGAAGGUGCGAGCACCCUCCGGCGCGCCCAGGAUGUCGCUCCACUGGUCGCCGAUGUUGCCGACGAUGACGUACCCGGCGUCCUGCAGCUUCUGCCGCUCGCCGGACUUGUAGGCGAUGGCGGUGGCCUUGAGCCCGACGGGCUUGAGCAGCAGGUCCAUCCAGCCGGAGUAGCCCUGGCGGCGGAGGUUGGUGACGGUGAUGGCCCUCUGGUCCUCGGUGCGCCCCGUCAGGAACACCGGCUUGAUGCCGAGCGAGAUGAGCUUCUUGAAGAGCCGCUGCGACUCCGGCAGCACCGGCGCGCUCCCCUCCAGCACGUACUCGUUGAAGCUCGUUGCGUUGUACGGCUUAGUGCUACACAAUGACAGUGAAACAACAGUCAGCUACUCUAUCUGUCCAUGAAAAAAAACACUUUUUAAGAAUUUAUAUUAGUUAAACUUUUUUUAAAUUUAAUUAAUAACUUUAUAGAAAAAAGUAAUAACAUCUAUAAUAUAAAAUGUAUCUCUUAUAAAAAUAUAUUCUAUGAUAAAUCUAAUAAUAGUAAUUUGAUAUUAUAAAUCGUGUAUUUUUUAAAAAAAUUGUUAAAGUUUAAAAUUUUUAACUGAGGUCAACUUUCGAAAUUGUUUCUUUCGUGUACAGAGAGAGUAGGGGUUAAGUAUAGUUGGCACCAUGCGUUAGACAGUAACAUAAUUUUUCUUUGUGGGUGAACAGUAGACAACCUGCUUUUGGAUAGGACGGUAUCAAGAUUCCAGAAAUUGAUAAGGUUUCUGUAGCCAGAAAGCAGUUGGCCAAGUGGACCAGUGAUAUAUCUACUGUAUGUAUUCUGCACGUACGUGGUCCUGCUCUGAUCUGGCAUAAUCUCAUCAACGUCCCCGUCAGGCAUUGUUUUGCUCGGCACAUGCAGACAUGCUGCCCUUGUCCUUGUCCCAGCACCAUCAUAUCUGUGCCCCUUUCUUUGAGAUAGAGGACACAGAAACUAUACAUAUACAUAGGUUUUCUACUGUGGACUACUCCAACAUGGCCAAAUGCAAUUACGUUUGCAACAUAUGUAAUAUGCAAAUAUAAGAGUUUCUAACUUUGUCCUAAACUAUUACUACAAGUAUGAUUAAGUUAAUAGAAAAAACAACAAUAUUUAUGACUGAUACCAAUUGAGCAUUAUGAGGUCCACUCAAUUAAAGAUAUAUAUAUAUAUAUAUUUUUACAUUUUUCUUCUUUGAUGUCAGAGAUGCUCAUACACAAAAUUAGUCAAACUUCCAAUAGUUGCAUUUAGAAAUAGGAUCAGAAGCAUUUUGUACUUUUGGAUGGUGGGAGUAGACCGAUUUAAUGUCUUUCUAAGUAAAAUUUAUCUAAUAUUAAACAAUACAAGUUUAUAUAUAAAACAAUGUAUCGAUAUCUAUAAUACCACAGAAAUGAACUGUAAAGAUAUGGUGGCACGUAUUUUGUUCUAUAUAAAAUUUUAAACUGCUUACACCUUGAAAUUAAAUGGACGGAGUACCUAGUGUUGAAGUAACUUCUAUAAAUAAAAAAAACAAUGUUCGGUUAUCAAAUGAUAUGCUGGAUUUUAUAUACGCGACAUUUUAAAUUGGAUUUUUAGUGGCAGAUGGCCUAACUACCGGAUCUAAAAAUAUGACUAUUUGUACUUCCUUGCGUCUGACAUAACCCAUAAACCACCACCAGUACAAAACUAAACAUAUAUAUAUAUAUAUAUAUAUAUAUAUAUAUAUAUAUAUAUAUAUAUAUAUAUAUAUAUAUAUAUAUAUAUAUAUAUAUAUAUAUAUAUAUAUAUAUAUAUAUUCUACUAGUAGUAGUUUUAAUCAACUAUUAGUAAAAAUAGGAGCAUUUGUACUAAUGGUCAUGUGACAUAAAACGCAACUGAAAUGAUUUUUUUUCACUAGCCGUUCUUGUGUGUUAGCCCCCCAAAAAUAACUGCUAUUAGCGUCUCCUUUUGUACAUCGUCAGUAAAAAAAAAAUAAGUAGCGCACUGUAAUGAAAACCGUCUCUAUAUAUUAGUCAGGCUAGCUAAUUCUGCGCUGGAGAAUAUAUAUGCGUACUAGCCAUGAAACAACAUAAUACGUACCGGCGUACGUACGUACGCCAGCAGCUGCGUGCGACCAGGGCCUUGUUUAGUUCCGAAAAGUGAAAAGUUUUCGGUACUGUAGCACUUUCGUUUGUUUGUGACAAAUAUUAUCUAAUUAUGGACUAACUAUGAUCAAAAGAUUCGUUUCGUGAUUUACAACUAAACUGUGUAAUUAGUUUUUAUUUUUGUCUAUAUUUAAUGUUUUAUGCAUGUGCCACAAGAUUCGAUGUGACGGGAAAUCUUGAAAACUUUUUGGUUUUUAAGGUGAACUAAACAAGGCCAGGUUUGCUCUGGGACGUACGGACGGAGUACUUGCCGUCAACUAUAUACACGGGUAUCGAAUAAAAACCAUUAAACAACGUGUGUGUAUAACGUACGUACCCGAAGCCAUGGGUGGCAUAGUAGGGGAGGUUGGAGAGGGACGUCUCGUCGAUAUCGAACACCCACACCUCCUUGCCGUUGCCGGCGAGCUUGAGCCCCUCGGCGUACGCGAUAGCCUCGUCGACGACGACGCGGGAGUCCCGGCGGUAGUGCCCGCCGAGCAUGUAGUGGCCGACGUAGCCCUCGCAGCUGCCCGGCACCGUCGUCCAGUCGCGCUUGUUGUACGUCUCCACGGCCAGCCGCCAGCUGUCGCACGGCACGCCGGCGCGCAGGCCCAGGUCUCCCGCGGAGCCCAUCAGGGGCCGCAGCGCGUGGAUCAGCGACGACGACGCCGACGCCGACGACGCCGCCGACGACAGGUCUUCCUUCAGGCGCUCCGCGGCGGCCUCGACGGACUGCGCCGCCGUCGUCGUCGGCAGCGUCCGGAGGAGGCUCAGUGGCCCCCGCCAGGCGCUGCCGCCGCAGGAGCUGCCGGCCACGAGGACCAUCAGGAGGACGAGCUUGGCCGUGGCCAUUGCCAUUGCCAUUGCGACUGCGCCACGCACCCGAUCUGCUGCGUGCUAGGAGAACACUCUGUGUGUCCCCUGUUCUAUCUGCGAUGCACAGCACAGGCGUGGUUGUGUGAACUUUAAUAGAGCAUGCGUGUAGUGUUGAGGGCCCACAUGUCAUCAGCCCAGCGCGUGAACCACGUGGAGUAUGGUCACUGACGUUGAUGGGCAGGUUUGGACGGGCGCGAUGGGACGAAUGGUAGUGGACAAGCGCUGCUGGCCGUGUACCCAUUAUUGGAUGACAAUGGGUAGUUUUGGGUUGGAUAUCUUUGGGUUUCAGGUUCAGGUUUGGAAGGGAUUUCUCACCCAUGCUUUUUGGGUUUGGGAGCCCAAAACCUAUUGCAUUCGGUUGCGGGUUUGAUUUUUUCAUCCGAUGGUAUCCAAUGGAUACCAGAUUUGAAUCAUUUGGUACCAAAAAAUCGAGUAUCCAUUGGGUAGAAAAAAAGUUAUUCCUGGAUCAUUUGGUACCAAAAAAUCGCCCAAAACCUAUUGCGUUCGGUUGCGGGUUCAGGGAAUCAUUUUGGGUAUCCAAUCGAGUUUCGGGGAUUCGUGGGUAUUAGUUUCAGGGAUGGAUUUCCAUCCAAGUUUGGUGUUUGAGGCGGUUCAGGUUUUCAGUUCGAGUUUCGGUUUUGGAUGCCCAGAGACUCCACCCGAUUCAAACCCUAUUGUCAUCCUUAAUUAACCAUGAGAAUGUGAGACGCGGAGGACCGAUAUGAUGACAUAACAGGCACAGCAUGCCUGCAUGGAUGCAUGCAAAAGGUCUGAUAAUGUAAGGUGCCUUGGCUCACCCACUGAGAAGAUACUGACUUGUACAUUUAAUUUAUUUUAUUUAUAAAAAACAUACAUAAAUCUCACAUACGUAUUACACUGAUGAUACGCACAUGAUAUCUCUAUGAAUGAGACCAGGGGUGGGGUGAAUCUUAGCCUUCAUUAUUGGUGUGGCACGAGCAUGACCACAACGAUGAAAUUUGGCAAAAACCAGUGGACACCUAAUUCAUCAUUGUUGGGACCCCGUGAAAUCCGGAUUUGCUCUGAAUAAGGUUAAGAGCAUCUCCAUCACAUUGAUUUAAAUGCAUCCAUUUUCCUUAUAAAGCAGAAAUAAAGGGAAUUGCAAAAAAUGAGCUCCAUGAGAUCCCUUCUCAAUCCUUUUCUCUAUUUUUUUCUCAAUUCGUCAAAUUCUCUCCUCUCUCUCAAACAACGGGAAACUAAUAGGAUUUUUUCUCAAUCCCCUUUCAUCCCUCCUAUUUCAUUGGCAUAUAUGCGGGCCCUGCUAUACCUGAAUGGCACCAUCGACCGCAAAAUAGAGUAGUUGUGGGUAUAGGCCGCUAUAGCUACUCAUAGAUGAUGUAGAGCUCAAUAUAUAUAGGUCGUAGUCGGAUAUUUUGAACAUUGGUACAAACUCGGUGUGUGUAAUAUUGGUACAUAGGUGUAUUUUACAGCUACAUAAAUUAAUUUUAGCCAUGACCAAAAUCAAUUAGUAGAUGCAGUUUUUGAAAAACCACAUGUACCCAAGGGCCCCAAAUCAAGUAUUUUCUAGAUGAAGGUGUUGCAAGGCACCUAAAAAUCGAUUUCUAGAAUAGAUCAGUAAGGUUGCUCUCCCUAGAUAUCUCACGAACUAUCCUAAAUAUAUAGAUAAUGGUCUAUAUAUACAAUUUCUAGAAUGGAUUGGUGAGGUUGCUCUCCCUAGAGAUAUCUCUCACCAACUACAUCUAGAUAUAUAUCAAAUAAAAUAUGUCCUCUUGUGUUGUCAAGGAUUCAGGCCUAUGACUUCAUGCUUUUUUCACAACAACUAUGACUUCAAGCUUGGCGCGAGCCCGCAAUGGGACACAAUCAUUGGUGACUGAAUAUCGGAUGCUAUUCUUUUAUAUUUUUUUACACGAGGAAUCUUCCCAUUUCCAUUGAUGACCCAAUAUAAUGGAAAUACAACAUUUAAGAGGUUACACAACAAUAUAAGAUGAAUAAUUCACUAGAAUAACCACAAAACAUCAGGCCUAUAUCAGGUGCUACAUAGAGCUAAAUUGAAUAAUACUUUGACAAACCAGGGAACACCUUGCCCAACAGUUAGAGAAAACUAGAUAAUUAAAAAAUAGAGUUUUUCUACAAAGAAAGGCCAUCCAAAUGCCACAAGUGCUGAGGCAGUCAAGCGCCAGUAGGCACCUUUCACCAUCUUCAAUCUUGAUCAUCGUCUUGGUUAUCCUCCAACAUGAGUUGCCAGCUGUGGGGGUAUAAACCCCUAUACCCUUACGGCUAGACUUCGGCCAGGAAGCUUGGCCCAGUACGAGACGAGUUCAAGGCUUGAUCCGACAACCUGGAGUUUCGCGCAAGGAAACAAGAUGGGGAGAUCAAGCAGGAUUCUAGUCGGUUAGAAUAGGAAUUGAUAUCGAAUUAUCCAUGGCAAUUGUAACCGACUAGGAUUAGUUUCCAGAUCUGUAACCCUGCCCUCCGGACUAUAUAAGGAGGGGCAAGGGACCCCCCUAGGACAUCAUAUUCUCUCAGCACAAAUCAAUACAACCAGACGCAGGACGUAGGUAUUACGCCAACUCGGCGGCCGAACCUGGAUAAAAAGCUUGUCCGUGUCUUGCGUCACCAUCGAGUUCGUAGUUUGCGCACCGUCUACCGAUAAACUACUACCGAGGGUAUACCCCAAGGUAGACUGCCGACUAGCUUUCGUCGACAGUGGCGCGCCAGGUAGGGGGUGUGCGUGCAACUUUUCCGGCGAACAAGAUGGUCACGAUCCCAGCUUCCGCGACCGUGCCCGAAGGCCUCACGUUCACCGUCGGCCAGAUCACGUGGACGACGUGCAGCGGCGGCUUCGCGACCAUGGUUCCGAAAGAGAUCCAGAUCCAAUCUGAGAUCACGCCGUCUCCGACCACACGCAUGACGGCACCAAGCUCCCGACCACCGUUCCCACUCUACAAGGGAAAGGAGAUCGACUGCUCGGACCUCCUCCAAGCGCUCGAUCGCGCUGACUCCAAGCUACUCGAAGUCUCCCAACUAAUAGAUGGAGUUCUGGGCCGGCCCGACCAAGCUGCUCGAGCGGAUUUUUCGAAAUCCCGCCGGCCAACUCGUGUCGCCACACACGAACGGCUGGGAACGUCCCUGACGAUAACCUCAACCCCCUCAGGACGAUCCGUCGAGCUCAAAAAGGAAGACUAUCCUUGCGGCCUGAACAACUCGGCCUCUGUUUACUCACAGCAUGUCCAAUCCGUUUUCAGCAAGGCGGGUUGGUCGCCGACAAGGAACAACCGUCACCAUGUCAACAUGGUGACAAUCCGAGAGCUACGGGACGGCCAGGUUUCCAGCACCAACUCAAGCACCGGCUCCGUCCCCACCGAGGUUAUAAACACCGAAGACGAGGGCUACGACCUGGAUUUUCCUUCACACCCUCCGGGUUUCGACCGAUUCCCGAUAUUCCCCCCCCCCCGGCGAGGGGAUAUUGUGUUCAAUGUUAGCGCCGACGAACCGGCUGUUGACGGAGAAACAGAUGACCAGAGGCAACUCCGCGAACAGCGUAACGCCGAUCGCGCCCGACGGCGUGCGGACGAGCAACAACAGAUGCCACCAAGUAACCUCAAUGAUGCCUUUGACAUGGUCGGGGACCAGCCGGUCUACAAAACGCCAAGCGCCAACGUGGCUGUCGCCAUGGCCAACCUGGAUCGGCUUCCUGACACCCCCGAGUGCCAGGGAGUCCGGACCAGCAUCCGAGCACACCUGAUCGCCGUAAUGGGACAGACAGCCACUCUGCUCAAGAGAGUCCAGGACGUCUCUUAUACGGAAGCCGCCUCCGACCAGACUAAUCGUAGCCAGGUCUCACCCAGCAGGCGUCACCGCAGCCGCUCCCCCGACAACAGUCGAGGGGACUCGCGGCGCGACGAUGGUGGUCGGGACGCCGAUGGCCGCCGCAAGCAAAUUCAUGGCGUACGCGGCCAAGAAGAAGAUCAACACAGGGAUCUCCGCCACAACAUCCCUCCCAAAGAUGCCCGGGACCGCAUCAACAGGCGCGCCGCAGAGAGUGCAGUCCACGAAAACCUGCGCCGCAUCGAGUACGAUGCGACCCACGGUCCUCCGGGCCUAAGACAGUUCUCCUCACACCUCCGCCAGGUCGUGUGGCCCCGCAAUUUCAAGCUCGAAAAACUUAAAAAAUACGACGGCAAGGAAAAUCCAGAGAACUGGAUCACUCUCUAUGAAAUCGCCGUCCGAUCAGCGGCAGGAGAUGAGCACGUCAUGGCUAACUACUUCCCCGUAGUCCUCGACCAGGAUGGUCAUCAGUGGCUUCUCGGCUUGCCCGAGGACUCCUUCGACUCCUGGGAAGAGCUACGCCAGGCUUUCAUCGACAACUUCAUCGCCACAUGCGAGCUGCCCGGAAACAAGUAUGACCUUGAAAGGAUAAGAGACAGGAAGAAUGAACCUCUGCGCGAUUACAUCCGACGAUUCUCGGAUAUGCGCCUCAAAAUCCCGAAGAUUUCUCAUGACGAGGCCAUAUCAGCCUUUAUCAAGGGCUUGCGUUUCCAUGAAGCGCUGAGGAACAAGCUGUUGCGUAAGCGCCCAUCAACGGUAGCAGAGCUCCUCGCCACGGCUAAAAAUUACGCCGACGCUGAUGACGCAGAAAAACUAAUCCGAGACGAUGCGAGAGGCCCCGACCAGCCUUCCCGGCGAGAUGACGGUCGUGGUCGCUACGACAACAGAAAUCACCGCCGCUCCGACAACCGCGAUCACCGAGAGGGUUGGGAUCGGCGGCGCGACAGCCGCGACGACUUCAGAGGAAAGCGCCCUCGCGAAUACGACCACGAAGUAAAUACGGUCAAACGUCCCAAUGGACGACGGGACUACCAAGACGACUACAACAAAACGUUGAAGGGACCGUGCCAGCUACACCCAAAGUCUAACCAUACCAUGGAAGAGUGCCGCGUCCUCAAAAGUAUCUAUACACGGCGGGCCGCCCAAGAGGACUCCGCCAAGAAGAAUAACAAGCGCGACGGGCACGACCACGAAGAUGAGGAUGAGGACCAAGACAGGGACCCCCGACACCAAUACGUCAGCCCCACCGACGUGGUCCACUCCAUUUUCGGGGGCAAGGUCUCCACUGAGUCCAAGCGAGAAAGAAAGCUGUUAAAGAGAGCCUGCCUCAACAUAGACAGCACGGACGGGCUGAUCGCAGAUCCGAAAUUUCCCGCGUGGUCCCACAGGGAGAUCUCGUUCAGCAGGAAGGACCAGUGGGCCGCUAUCCCAGAGCCGGGUCGUUUCCCACUGAUUCUUGAUCCCUGCAUCAAUAGCAUCAGAUUCGAGCGCGUGCUCGUGGACGGGGGAAGCUCCAUCGACAUCCUCUUCCGCAACAGCCUGCCCGCCCUCAAGAUAUCACCGGCACAACUAAAACCUUACGACGCCCAAUUCUGGGGGGUUUUGCCAGGUCAAAGUUCGGUGCCCCUCGGACAGAUAACAUUGCCUGUCCAAUUCGGCACACCCGAUCACUUCCGGACGGAGUUCAUCAACUUCGUAGUCGCGGAUUUCGACGGGACCUAUCACGCCAUACUGGGCCGCCCAUCGCUGACAAAGUUCAUGGCAGUCCCGCACUACUCAUACCUAGUCCUUAAGAUGCCCACGGAGAAGGGUGUCCUAACCGUCAGAGGCAACGUCUACACCGCGUACACCUGCGAAGAAGAAAGCUUCAAGAUCACCGAGGCAAUCGACCUCUCAAUCCGCAUGGCGGAAACAGCAAACCAAGCCGCACAGCUGCCUCCCGACCAGCUCCGAUUACCUGAGCAGGAGACAGCCAGAAAGAACUCGAAAUCCAAGGAGUACAAAGAAGUGCAGCUGGUCGAAGGCAACCCCGAGAAGACAGCCCUCAUCGGGGCUAACCUGGAUCCAAAAUAGGAAGACGCGCUCGUCAGGUUUCUAAGGGACAACGUGAGCGUUUUCGCAUGGAAACCCGCAGACAUGCCCGGUGUCCCACGAAACCUGAUCGAGCACUCCUUAAAUGUCUCGAAGACCGCAAGACCAAUCAAGCAAAAACUGCGACGGUUCGCUCGUGACAAAAAGGAGGCUAUUAGGACAGAAAUAACACGGCUUCUAGCAGCCGGAUUCAUAAAAGAAGUGUAUCACCCCGAUUGGCUCGCCAAUCCGGUUCUUGUACGCAAAAAGAGUAAUGAAUGGAGAAUGUGCGUUGAUUACACCGAUCUCAACAAACACUGUCCUAAAGAUCCUUUUGGUCUUCCUCGCAUCGACGAGGUGGUCGACUCAACGGCCGGAUGCGAACUCCUCUCCUUUCUAGAUUGCUACUCUGGUUAUCACCAGAUCUCGCUAAAGGAAGAAGAUCAGAUCAAAACAUCCUUCAUCACACCCUUCGGCGCAUACUGCUACACUACCAUGUCUUUCGGACUUAAAAACGCCGGGGCCACUUAUCAAAGGGCCAUCCAGCAAUGCCUCCACGACGAGAUUCGCGAUGACCUCGUCGAGGCCUAUGUGGACGACGUGGUCGUAAAAACAAGGGACGCGAGCACCCUAAUCGACAACUUAGACCGAACCUUCAAGGCACUCAAUAGGUACAAGUGGAAGCUCAACCCCAAGAAAUGCAUUUUCGGCGUUCCUUCCGGUCUACUGCUCGGCAACGUCGUCAGUCGCGACGGCAUACGACCAAACCCUUCAAAAGUCAAAGCCGUACUCGACAUGCGACCACCGAAAAACGUCAAGGAUAUUCAGAAGCUAACCGGAUGCAUGGCCGCCCUCAGUCGUUUCAUCUCAAGGCUGGGAGAAAAAGGCCUCCCUUUCUUCAAACUAUUGAAAGCGUCAGAAAAAUUUUCUUGGACAGAGGAAGCCGACGCUGCGUUCACUCAGCUUAAGACCUUCCUCACUUCACCACCUGUCCUCACAGCGCCUCAGCCCAAUGAAGACCUACUCCUUUACAUUGCUGCAACCGACAGGGUUGUUUCCACGGCAAUAGUGGUCGAGCGAGAUGAACCAGGUCACGUCUUCAAGGUCCAGAGACCCGUUUACUUCAUAAGCGAAGUCUUAAACGAGUCCAAGGCCAGGUACCCACAAAUACAGAAGCUUAUAUACGCCAUCCUGAUAACGUCAAGAAAGCUGAAGCACUACUUCGACGGCCAUCGAGUCCUGGUGACAACCAGCUUUCCUCUCGGGGACAUCCUGCGCAAUAAAGACGCCAAUGGCAGAAUCGUGAAAUGGGCAAUGGAAUUAUGUCCAUUUUCCCUGGAGUUCCAGAGUCGCACUACUGUCAAGUCUCAAGCCCUGGUCGAUUUCAUUGCCGAAUGGACGGAUCUCAACGAGCCUUCCGUUCCCGAUGUCUCAGACCACUGGUCAAUGUUCUUUGACGGGUCCUUGAACAUCAACGGUGCAGGCGCUGGGAUAUUGUUCGUAUCACCCAACAAGGACAAACUCCGUUACGUCCUUCGGAUCCUUUUUCCGGCGUCAAACAACGUCGCCGAAUACGAAGCAUGCUUGCAUGGCAUACGACUAGCCGUUGAACUGGGGGUCAAGCGCCUCUAUGUCUACGGCGACUCCGCUUUGGUCAUCAACCAGCUCAACAAGGAGUGGGACGCAACCCACGAGAAGAUGGAUCUCUACUGCAAAGAAAUUCGCAAAUGGGAAACUAACUUCUAUGGCAUAGAGUACAUCCACGUGGUCCGGGAUAAGAACCAAGCAGCAGAUGCGCUGUCAAAGUUAGGCUCAUCUCGGGCCCAAAUCCCGCGGGGUAUUUUCGUCCAAGACAUCCAUGAGCCGAGCGUAAGCUCCCCCCUGGUCGACAAGCAACCCACCGAGGCAAUGCUCAUAGAUGACGCCACUCCGACAACCGGUGGACGUGACUGGCGUACCCCGUUCAUCAAAUACAUAUCAGACGGGACAGGCUUUCAGGACAAAGCAGAGAACGAGCGCCUCAUCCGACGAUCAAAGAACUACAUCCUGGUCGACGGAAAACUCAUGCGAAAAAACGCAAGCUCCGAAGUACUGCUCAAGUGCAUACCCCAAGAUGAUGGUAUCAAGCUCUUGGAGGACAUACACGCUGGAUCCUGCGGCAAUCACGCCGCAUCUAGAACGCUGGUCGGAAAGGCUUUCCGAGCAGGUUUUUAUUGGCCAACCGCGGUCGGCGACGCAGAAAAACUGGUUCGGCAUUGCGAAGGAUGUCAGUUUUUCGCUAAGAGGACCCACGUACCUGCCCAUGAAAUUCAAACCAUCCCGUCGUCUUGGCCCUUUGCUUGCUGGGGGCUUGACAUGAUCGGACCAUUUAAACCAGCCCCGGGCAAUUUCAAGUUUGUCUUCGUGUUAAUCGACAAGUUCUCCAAGUGGAUUGAAUACAUGCCCCUGGUCAAGGCAACCUCCGAGAAGGCUGUGGAGUUCCUCAAUCAAAUCAUACACAGAUUCGGCAUCCCGAACAGCAUAAUCACCGACCUGGGCACUCAGUUUACUGGCACCACUUUUUGGGAUUUCUGCGAUGACAGAGGCAUAGUCAUAAAAUAUGUGUCAGUGGCACACCCACGUGCCAACGGUCAAGUCGAACGUGCUAACGGAAUGAUCGUUGACGCCCUAAAGAAAAGGCUGUACACCGAAAACGACAGAGCACCCGGUCGAUGGAUGAAAGAAUUGCCGGCAGUGGUCUGGGGCCUCCGAACCCAGACCAGUCGAAACACAGGGGUGUCUCCCUACUUCAUGGUGUACGGUGCAGAGGCGGUCCUGCCGUCUGACAUACACUUCGGAUCUCCUAGAAUCGAGCACUUCGACCAGGCGACCGCCGACAACGCCAGAGAACUCGAAAUCAAUUGCAUGGAGGAAAAGCGUUUAGUUUCAUGUCUCCGAACAGCAAAAUAUCUCGCGGCAGUCAGGCGGUACUACAACAGGAACGUCAAGGACCGUUCCUUCGCGGUCGGCGAUCUGGUGCUUCGAUGGAAAACAAGCCAGGAGGGAAUGCACAAGCUAUCCACUCCCUGGGAAGGACCCUUCGUGGUGACCGAGGUCACACGACCUACGUCCUUCAGAUUGGCAUACCCAGACGGAACACGGGUGCCUAACUCUUGGCACAUCGACAAACUGCGACGUUUCUAUCCAUAAAGUUUUAAUGACUUUCUUUUGUAAGUAUCUUAUAAUUUUUGAUAAUGAAAUUCUCUAUUUUUUGCCUAUACCUUGUCACACACAGCACUCGGCAAAACUCCUGCAAUGGAUGCUCUUAGCGACAACCAAGACAAAUACGGUGACACGUCACUCAGAUAUUUUUACAGCGCUCAAAACAACAGUCAUGACAAAAAGUAAACUUUAUUACAAACUUUACAUACAAAGUUUACAAUAAAUACCCUGACGGGCAGACACUAGUCUAUUCCUACAGACUACUUUAUUGGCCUAGCUGCUCGGGCUGAUCACCCGCCUGGCCCUGCUGCCCGGACGAAGGGGUCGGGGCCACCAGCGCCUGGCUGGUCGAGACCGCAGGCGUCGACCGCCCAUCUCCCGCAACGGACGCGCCCGACAACUCCCUGGCCGACCUAUCUGCACUCGGCUGGUCUGGAGGAGUGGCCGUUCCGCACAGAUUGAUGUCGCCGAUCACUGUCGACGACAAGUCCAGCAGACUACCCCGAAGCUCGUCCGCGUCCUGCGGGCCGACUUCCUUCGGGUACCCCUUCUCCAGCCUGCUCAAGUCGACCAGGGGGUAGUGGGCGCGCACCAUGCUGAGGACGUGCGCGCCGGCAAACUCCCCGGCGUCCUUCACAAACUGCUGGAGCCAGUCCCACGCCCGUUGCGCCUUCUCGACCGGGGUCAACUGCGGCGCGCGGGGCUGGCUCUCCGGGAGCUCGGGACUGAUCAGGUCUAGGACCGGGGACACUCCUUUCCAGAUCCUGCAACAGUUGACCUUCCAGGAGUCCCGGUCCUUGGUCAGAUCGUCCAGGUGCUUUUUGGCGUUCACCUUGAGCACUGCAAACGAAACGAAGCGUUAUUUUCGGCAUAAAAAAGGGGCAGGCAGUAACCAACAAGGCGGCAACCAUUACCAGAUAGCUCCCGGUCUUUUCGACCCAAUUCCUCUCCUGCUCGCCGCCCGGACUCCAGCGCACCGGCGAGCUGUUGGCUGAGCUGCUCCUUCUCUUGUCGGAGGCUCGCCACCUCCUCCUCCAAGUCUGCGUGAAUCCUAAGCUGGUCAGCAAAGCAAACUAUACAAGUACGCGAAGCUGCUCGGAGCGUGUGACUAACCUUCUUGCAGCCGGUACUGGUCGGCCAAACGACGAGCGAGGUCGAGACGACGCUCCUUUUCGGCACUCAUCUCGACCACCUUCUCCCCGACCUCCGCCCGCAACCGGUCUACCUCCGCGGCAAGGGCCUUGUUCUCGGCCAUGACGCCUUCUAUCUGGUCAAAGCACCGUUUCCGGUACUUCGCCGUUUUCAUUGCGUCCUGCAAAGCAAGCAUAUAACGACCAUGCAAGACAAGGCAAAAGAAUGUGCAGCAGUACAAAAAGCCGCUUACCUUGACUUCGUCGACGAGGCGCUUGGCCGCGCGCUCCACCCUGGCGGCCUCUUCGGUCUCGGCGAGCUCCUCAUGCCCGAUAAAGUGAUCCCCGCGUUGGCGCCACACAUACACGUGUUGGCGGCCAUCACGGGGACGACCCUCGAUCUCUUCCACCUCAUCAUCGGAGGCCGCCCGGGUUUCCUCCUCCUGUGCUGCGUCACCCCCGGUGGUGGUCCCAGGUAUUACUGGCCCUUGGACCAGACCUGGGGAGCCCGCAGCCGAAGAGGCUCCUGCUCGGGGCGGUGUGGGGACUUCACUCCUCCCGGCAGGAGGAGCGGUCGAAGAUCUCCCCUUCUCUGAGGAGUCAGUUGGGGGAGCCUCUCCAGCCCUGGUCGGGCUGCUUGUCGUAGUCGGUGCCGCGCUCGGGAGCUCCUCGGUGCUCCCAGGCGCGACUGCAGCUGUUGCCUGCUCUGUGGUCUGGGGGGCCGCAUCCCCAGAACCGCGGGCAGGCUCGCCCGUUCCCUGGCCGGCAGUUUGGCCGGGGUCGACAUCCGAUGCCGUACUACAGGAACAAAAGUUAAAAAAAAAAGUCAAAGAGGAGUUCAAAAUACGUAAGUCGAACACUUACAGGUCUGACCGACGGUGGGUCGCGGUGAACCUCCUCCUCGCCCGGCCGGUCGGCACCUGCGCCCCCGUCUCGACAACUUGCGGUGCAGGGGCGCCGCUGGCCACUCGAUCAGUAGCGGCCGGCGCAUUAUCUGGGCGACCCCGGGGCCGUCGGACCAACGACGGCGCAGCCUCCUCGUCGUCGUCGUCGUCGUCAACGAUCCGCACGAGCCGACGACGCUUCGGUGCUUGGCUGCUCUCUGCCGGAAGAUCCGCCGGCAGCUCCGGUGUCGGCAAAGGAUCUGCCGGCAAUGGCCUCUUCCCCGCUACCCUCUCCUCGGAGGUCGGGACGAGGCGGGCUUGGUCUUCCUCACUGCUGGUGUAAUGAGUACACCGAGCAGCGUCUUCCUCUGGCGGGACCUCUCCCGCAGGAUUUUCCAUCCCCGGUGCCAGUGAUACAUACACUGUGCACCGGUCAGCAUCGCCGAUCUGCAAAAGCAACAGAGAUGAGUCAACUGCAGACGAUAUACAAAUGCUAAAACAGAAUCUGCUACAUACCUUUGGUGCUGGUCGUCCUAACUUGAAGGCUUGCACCCGAUCACUGCCACGGAUGAAGCCCCCAUCCGCGAAGUUAAACAGCUCGUUCAACAGCUGUUGUACCUCCACUUUCUCCAAGAUCUCCGACCGCAUCCUAGUCGGGUCUGCGCUUCCGGCAUACUCGUACGCCGAGUGCACCCUCUUCUGGCAGGGCAUCACCCGGCGGCAAAUGAAGUUGCCGACCACGCCAAGCCCGUCCAGGCGCGACCAGUCGAUCAGCUUCAUGAGAUCCGCCACUGGACCGUCGAACUCCGGGCGGUCGGUCCAGCUUGUCCUCUUCUCAGGAAUGUAUCCCACGUCGCAGAACGUGGAGCUGCCCGGUUCCUCCCUGAUGUAGAACCACUUCCUGUACCAUUCGGUCAAGGAAGUGUUCCAUGGGCAGUGCAGGUAGCGAUUCUUCAUUCCAUCACGAAGGUUGAGGUAUACUCCACCUGCAACCUUGGAGCCUCCAACUGCUCCCUUCUUCCUCAAGCAGAAAAGAUACCGGAAAAGAUCGAAGUGCGGCUCUAUGCCAACAUAGGCCUCGCACAGGUGGAUAAAGGUGGAAAUGAGGAGAAUUGAGUUCGGGUGCAGAUUGCAAAUCCCGAUCUCAUAAUACAAAAGAAGACCUUGAAGAAAAGGAUGAACAGGAACACCAAAACCCCUCUUAAUGAAAUCUUCAAAUACGACGAUCUCACCGGCGCGAGGGUCGGGGUAGCUCUCCCCCUCCGGUGCCCUCCAGCCGCCGAGCUCCGGGCCGUGCAGAAGCCCCAUAUCGACGAGGUCACCAAGGGAUUUUGUGGUGCUGCGAGACUUCUUCCACUCCUUGGCCAUCAGUUCGGCCCUCUUCCUGGAGUCGCUCUUCGCCAUUAGAGGUGCGAAUGUGGGCUUGAGUUAGGAAGAUGCAGGAGAUUGGAGAAGAUGAGAGCGGAAGGUUUGAAGGCAAUGGCAGCGAAAGCGGUACAGGCGGACCUAUUAGGCUCUUAUAAGCCCGCAACUCCACCUCUCCCACUUCCUGUAUUCUCGGGAAGUGGGCAGGCCAUGCGGCGGACGCGGCGUUUCGGUUUACAAUGAUUAUAGACAAUUAAUGCGGCGGAGUUUUCGUACCAAUUGAUGGUUUCCUUUUCUCAAACCAUGCAAAGGGCGGCUGUACAGUUGUCAGGUGCAACUUUUCAUGCAUCCGUCUGACACCCCGUCAGGAGGCCUCGUCACGUCAACUUUAACUGGAAAGAUCUUUUCAAAAAUAAGAAGACACAUACGCCAGUGAGUCAACAAUCCGGGGACUGCACCGACCACCGAGCACUCGACGCUCGGGGACUGGUCGCCCAGUCUAUCAGCUCGGAACUUCAAGGACUGCACCGACCACCGAGCACUCGACGCUCGGGGACUGGUCGCCCAGUCUAUCAGCUCGGAACUUCAAGGACUGCACCGACCACCGAGCACUCGACGCUUGGGGACUGGUCGCCCAGUCUAUCAGCUCAAAGCUUUAAAGCAUGCACCGACCACCGAGCACUCGACGCUCGGGGACUGGUCGAACGGUAUAGCAACAUAUAAUUCCAAAGAGCACACUUAGUGCUUGGGGACUGGUCGAUUGGUCUUUUCAUUUGCAGACGAGCACGACAUGCUCGGGGACUGGUAAAUUCACUUUUGACCUUGCUACAAGGCUCAUACUUCGCCUUCCAGCAAGCUCGGGGACUACAUCGGUACGAUGCAUCUAGCGAUGCAUCUCAGUCUCAAAACUACUUUGGGGAAUUUUCUUUUGACCCUGGCACCACGUGCCUACGUCACCUACUACCAGGCUCGGGGACUAAGUGGGCACACUUCACCUAGCGGUGAAUUUGCUUGCUUUUUUGAUGUUUAUACCUUUCAAAAAGGUAAAGUGGGCACACUUCAUCAGGAAAGAAAUUUUUUUUAAGAGCACCAUGCAUUCUUCGAACAACCUGCUUCUUCGAUGUCAAUGUUGAUCAACUGUCUUUUGAGUUGGUCAAAAUACCGUUGCAACUGUUCGGACGACUUUCCUGCUUAUUGAAGACGUCAAGCCACACUGAUCGAAGAAGCUCAAGACGGCGUGUUACAUCACAAUACAUGGUGCUCGGGGACUAGCUGUGGGGGUAUAAACCCCUAUACCCUUACGGCUAGACUUCGGCCAGGAAGCUUGGCCCAGUACGAGACGAGUUCAAGGCUUGAUCCGACAACCUGGAGUUUCGCGCAAGGAAACAAGAUGGGGAGAUCAAGCAGGAUUCUAGUCGGUUAGAAUAGGAAUUGAUAUCGAAUUAUCCAUGACAAUUGUAACCGACUAGGAUUAGUUUCCAGAUCUGUAACCCUGCCCUCCGGACUAUAUAAGGAGGGGCAAGGGACCCCCCUAGGACAUCAUAUUCUCUCAGCACAAAUCAAUACAACCAGACGCAGGACGUAGGUAUUACGCCAACUCGGCGGCCGAACCUGGAUAAAAAGCUUGUCCGUGUCUUGCGUCACCAUCGAGUUCGUAGUUUGCGCACCGUCUACCGAUAAACUACUACCGAGGGUAUACCCCAAGGUAGACUGCCGACUAGCUUUCGUCGACACCAGCGUUUCUUCUCUUUGGCAAACAAACUUUGACACAAUCAGCACUGUACUCACCCCGGCCUCCAGGAAGAGACCUGCCCAAUAACCCAUGAGCGAGCAAGCAUAGCAUACAAUUGAAGCAAGGUUAUUCAUUGUUUUUUCUUCAAAACAGAUAGAGUUGCAUGUUUUCCAAAUGGCCCAACAAAUAGCUGUGAUGCCCAAGGUGUGAAAUUGCUUUCGAGUUGGGAUCCAACACUCAGACCAAUUCCAACACUAGUAAAAAGAUUUAGGGAUGCUAUUAGCACCAAUUGCAUAAGCGACAAUAGCCUAUACCGCUUUGGCUGUGGAACAUUGGAAAAACAAAUGUUUGUUCUCAUCAGUGUUACAAAAAUAACAAGUAGGGUAACAAAACAUCUUAAUUUGAUCAAGUUGUCUUUUGUGAGAAUAGCAUUAUUCAUAACAAGGCAUAGGUAACUUUUGAUUUUGGAGGGAAUUUUCCCCUUCUAGAUUCUUCUAUGAUAAGGCCCAAUACCACUAGUUACCACGGCUCUAUAAGUAGAUUUGACACUAAAUCGUCCAUUAUUACCAAAUUUCCAAAUCAUAGAAUCCUCUCCACGUGCAAUCAAUCUGCCUCAAGAUAUUUAGCCAACAAAGCCUAAGGUCAUCAAUAAGCUAUCUAGUGAAAGUCACAUUACUAGAAUCAAAAUUUACAUGAUGAACCCAAAUAUUAGGUUGUUCACACAUUUUGAAAAGAUCAGGGAAUAGAUGGCUCAAAGCUUUAUCAUAAAACCAAGCAUCGUUUCUGAAAAGAGUUUUCCUUCCAUCCCUUACUUUUACUUGUCUACCUUGGAGAUAGACAUCCAUGAUUCUUAAUAGAUCAACCCACAUGGCAGUCAGGUUGCCUGUGAUUCAUAGUACAAAAAGAUUUACCAUUUAAAUACUUAUACUAAAUGAUUUGCUGACCCAUUUCCCCUCUCCAAUUUCCACCACCAUUCAUCUUUCUAAUAUUUUUUAUCCCCAGGCCUCCUUUUUUUCUUAUGCUUACAGAUUUAACUCAUUUAACAAGAUGAUAUUUCAUUUUUGUGCCUCCUCCUUGCUAGUCCAGCUUAUCAAUGAUGGUUUUAGGAAGAAGGUAAAUAGACAUAUGAUAGAUUGAGGCAUUAUUUAGACUAGAAUUGGUCAGAGUUGAUCUACCAGCUAUUGACAUGGAACCCCCUUCCCAUACAUCAAGUCUCUUGGCACUUUUCUAUUCUUUUAUAUUGACUUCUAUGGAUCCUUUUAUUGAAUAUUUUUUGGAGCUGCAAUUUCAAAUCGGCCAAUAUAAAGUUUUAGAUCCCGUCAAACACUAUAAUAUUGGUAUAGAGUAUGUAUUACCAAGUUCGUUUGAAAAAUUCAAGGACAUGAAUUUAAAAAAUCUAUAAACUGAAAAAGUUAUAUUUGAAUCUGAUCUCAAAUAACAAAGGUUAUUGGCUAGAAAGCUUAUCGAGCUUUACAAUCUGAUGACAAAACUUGUCUUUUUCUGAUUUUAUUUGAAAAAAUUAUAAAUCUAUUUUUGUACAACGACUCUCUUUAGAGACAUAUGCCACCAUGCUAAUAACAUCUAUAAGUCGAUUUGUAUACACCAACCCUCUUUAGAAGCUAGUACCUCCAUUUUCAAGGACAAUCGGCGUUACCAACCAUCCCUAGGACUGAUUACAAUCCAGAGCAUCCUUCACCAAACGUUUGUAAAUUGCCUCAAAACUAAGAAAAGAAAAAUACUGUUUGUCUGGGGCUCUGGGCUAUCCAGGGCGCUGCAUUCAUUUGUACUAGCAGAAAUGGAAUAUAUAUAUAUAUAUAUAUAUAUAUAUAGAGGUAAAUUACUUUUUACACGCACGAGUAUCUACUCCGACGUAGCUACACGCGUGAAUUCUUCCCUCUCGCACGGAGCAGGAGCGGGAUUUCAUACCGGAUCAACCCGUUAGUCGUGGUACCUCUCUAUUAUUUUGGGCAGACCCGUGGAAGAAACCAUUUUAAUUUCCUGUUUCUUUUUUAUGCGUCGUCCAGCAGCCUCCCAUCCAUGGAUCCACCGGCGGCGGCGCAAACCUCCUUCCCACCGGCGUCGGCGAGCCUCGCCCUCAACAGCCGCGGCGGGCCUCGCCCCACCCCCAUCGGCGGCAGCACGGUCAGGUCAGCGCGCUCGGUGGCCCUCCUCCUCUAGCAGAUCCAGUCGCGAGCGGCUCGCCUCGUGCCGUCGUGCGGAUGCGACUCGUCUGUGGUGCGGCUCCACCGCAAGCCAACGACGGCAGUUGCCUCUUUCCCUAGCGGAUCCACCGCACAAGGCUCGUCCUCUUCAUCAACUAUGGCGUCAGGGCUCCAUCCCACCACUGAUGGCGGCUCCGGCAUCAGCGGGCAGGCAGCCUUUGGCUGGCGGCAUGGCCAUCGGCGACUGGGGACAGAUCAGGUGGUGCUGACCCUCUUCCCUGAUCAAUGGUGGCCUUCCUUCCUCUGGCUACUACAGCGACCCUUCCUAUGCCAUGGUCUUUUUGAUGCAGGUGCCUUCCUAUGCUAUCGUGUGGCUGCAGCAAGUAUGAAUAUGCACCUCAUCUAACAUAUACUGUGUUUUGUUUUUCUUCAUGCGUUAUGUUUUUGUUUUUGCCUUUUGGAUGCCGAGCGUAGAGAUGGAUCGAUGUUCCACAAUCAUAGUUCAUGCCCACAAAUUUUAAUGUUUUCUGCUGCCUAUAUAUAUCUCGACUUUCUCAUGAAAUUGAAUCUAGCUGCAGAGAGCCAGAGAUGGAGCAGCAAAGGUUUCUGUGCAGUUUAUUUUUUAUUUUUAAGCUUCUUGAGCCAGCAACAUAUGUAUUCGUAUCAAAGUAAACAUGUAUGUACUCAUACUCCAUAUAACCAUGUAUAUAGUUUCAUACUCACAAAGAUGUAUAUACUCAUACUCCCACUGUAUAUGUAUAUGUAUAUGCUCAUAUUCCUUUUGUCUAAUUUGAUGCUUCUAUGUUGACGGAAAUACACAUCAAAGAAAUUUAGCAUGCAGGCAUAUAUGGUGGGUGUCCUCGCUAAUCUCAUGUCAUAGUAUCAGUUACUGUAUGUAUUUAUGUAGUUCAUUUACAGGUCUUGCAAGUUUGGAAUGAUGUAAUGUCAUAUUCUUAUACUCGUUUGCAUAUAUCCAUACUCAAGUUGUUCUCUGCCCACACGUAUGUAUCCAUACUCACAAUAAACAUGUAUGUACUCAUACUCCAUAUAAACAAGUAUGAUUUUCAUACUCAUAAACAAGUAUGAUUUUCAUACUCAUAAACAAGUAUGUUCUGCAUGGCGUAUGUACUAAUACUCUGCCAAAAAAAGUUCUCCACAAACGUACCAAUUUUUGUCCUCGAAAAAAUUAUCUGUGAAAAUACAUACUCUAUAAGAUAAACAUUAAAGUAAUCCUCUGUAUAUGGACAUACUCGAAAUACAAGUGUGCGUCCAUACUCUAUUAAAGUAUACUCAUUUUUUCUUAUUAAAGUAUGCGUUCAUAUUAGAGUAUACUCAAUUUUCUUAUUAAAGUAUGCGUUCAUACUUUACUUGCAGAAAAGAACGUCUGUGAACAAUUGAAUCGCUUUCUUCGUAAUACUUAUCCGGCUAGGCGCUCCCCUAAUUAUUUAUUAAAUAAUAAUAAUAAUAUUCACGUACAACCUGUAUACAUGCAGUUCGCGUAGAUCUUGGAUACCAUAUACAUACUCGUGCUUCGAACCCGUUAGAUCGCUAAUGGGCCGCACCACCCGACGCCAGCUACGUCUGCGGGAUGGCUCGACCCUCCGAUGCGUAUAAUAAAGGCUCAGAGUAGUUACUGGUACGUGUAGAAAAAAAGUGUCAUAUAUAUAUAUAUAUAUAUAUAUAUAUAUAUAAAUUUUCUCUACUUCUUAGGAGUAGUUACUCUCUCUUCUAAAACACAGUAUUAGAUGCCGCACUCCCCUAUCGGGUCACAAAGUCGAACCCGGUAAGUCACAUAUACGUGGACAAACUAUACUCCGGUUAUUCAGUCAUCGAGGAAGCUAAAUCACGUAUACAACGGUGGACAAACUGUUCUCCGGUAUUUCAGCCAUCGAAGAAUUGUUGUUUAAUCAUUAUUAUCCAUUUUCCUUUUCUAGAUUAGAGUAUCAUCUUAUAUGCGUUAAACUAUUUCUACUAGUACAUAGCCAUACACGUAUUGGGAGUUGAUGUGUAUGCAAGUACGCUCAUUGUCUACUAGUACGUAUAAAGAAAGAUGGCCAUACACAUACUCCUAUUGGUACAUGGACGUACGUAACAUAAUUGUACAGGUAUGCAUGCAUACUUCUAUACAUUUAGGUAUAUGGACAUACUUCCUAAUAAAAUACUAUGUACACAUACUCUCCUGUGAAAAAAGUAUAUACAUAUACUCUGAGUAUAAAUACAUACAUGCUUCUAAUUAAUAGUAUAAAUACAUACUCUAAUUAGCGGGCAUACUCCUGAAAUAUGCGUAUGUGAGCAUACUGUGAGUGUGCAUAUGUGAACAUGUAUUUGAACAAAAAAAGGUAUGUCUAUAUACUCUGAAAGUGUGCGUAUGUGAUCAUACUUUAAUUAAUAUACUUAAUAAGUAAUAAUGUAUGUAUAUAUAUAUAUAUAUAUAUAUAUAUAUAUAUAUAUAUAUAUAUAUAUAUAUAUAUAUAUAUAUAUAUAUAUAUAUAUAUAUAUAUAUAUAUAUAUAUUCCUUUGUACACGUACGUGUAGUUACUCUCAUCUUCAAUAAACUACAUUGUGUAUGUAUUCAUACUUUUUUAUCAGUUUGAGUAUGUUUGUAUACUUAUAUUAAGAUACUUUAGAUCUUACCACGCGAAAUUUUUUUAAAAAAAAUUAUAUUUUAAAUAUAUUACUAAAAUGCCACUACUAUAUUAUAUACAAUAAGUAUAUCCAUAUACUCUAUGUAUGUAUACGUUAUAUAUAUAUAUAUAUAAACGUACGGCCCUAUAUUGGCCGUAUCGAGUAAUUACUCAACGCUUCUCCUAAUUGGCCGUAUCGAGUAAUUACUCGUAUAAAAAACUCACCAUAUAUAUAUAUAUAUAUAUAUAUAUAUAUACUACAUAAACGUACGGCCCUUUUUUUUUAAAAAAAAAAAUAUCCAACCGAUCAACCUGCUUGAUCCGCUUUCUAUGGUCAGCAUGCAUCACCCGUUUUUUUUCUCUCACCCGCUAGCUACUCAACGCUUCUCCUAAUUGGCCGUAUCGAGUAAUUACUCGUAUAAAAAACUUAUAUAUAUAUAUAUAUAUAUAUAUAUAUAAGUCAAAAGUGAGCAGAAAAAAUACUGAGCAAUACUAAACAACAUUCAGUAUCAUCUAGUCGUACACCUAGGACCGCGAAAUACUGAAACACGAGUACUUAACAAUACUGAAUUUUGUUCAGUAUAACAUUUUGGUGUAGAAUAGCACUUGUGUGUAUAUAUAUAUAUAUAUAAUAAUAAUAAAGCACAAUUAUUUAUCUUCCUUUUGCACUAUGUAACAAUCUUGGGUCAAUGGAACCAUGAAUGCAUUCCUCCCGUCUCGUCUUUCAUGCCUCGUCGGAUCGGGGAAUCAGGUCAUGUCCUAUUCUGCGUCCGCCAACACCUUUUUCCUUGCAUCUGCACUGCACUGCACUGCUACGUACAGCGUGUGCUAUAAGCAGCAGAGGGAGUUUCUUCGAAAUUCUAUGUUCUGAUAAAAUGUGUCUCACAAAGUUGUAGGGCAGUAUAUCAGAUGCCCCGAUGCGCUCAUUAUUGGGAGUGUGUGUGAUCUGAAAGUAGGCUCUAGAAACAUCAGUGGAAAGAGCCAAAGAUUAGCAUAGACAAUUAUAUUCUUUCCGCACAAAGAAACAUCAUAUAUUAUACACAUACGUGGAAAGAAAUAUGAAAUUUAUUUUGGUUCCAAACUAGAACUUGUUUGGCUACAUUCAAAUAUACCCCGAUUUUACAUAGUUUGGGAGGAACUGAAUUGUUAUGAGUUAAACUCAUUAUGUUCAAGUAAAAAUAAAAAAAUGUUUGGUUCAACCUACUCCCCAGUUCCAAAAUAGGGCCUUGUUUACUUCCCAGAAAAUUUUGCAAAAUUUUUCAGAUUCCCCGUCACAUCGAAUCUUUAGACGUAUGCAUGGAGUAUUAAAUAUAGACGAAAAUAAAAAUUAAUUGCACAUUUUGGUCGGAAUUGACGAGACGAAUCUUUUGAGCCUAGUUAGUCUAUAAUUAGACAAUAUUUGUCAAAUACAAACGAAAGUGCUACAGUGUUCAUUUUACAAAAAAUUUUAGAACUAAACAAGGUCUUGGUGACAUUGCUUCCCGUAGAGUCAAACUCUUUUAACUUGACCAAAUAUACUACAUAAUUAAUAUCAUUUUUCAUAAUAAACUUAUUUGAAGAUAUAAGUGUUGCUAAUAUUUUUUAUAAAUCUAAUUAAAUUUUAAAAAAGUUUGACUGAUAUGAAUACCAUAACAACACUUAGUUUGAGACGGAGAAAGUACACACUAGUCAGUACACAUCACCAUCACCGCCAACUCAACAUUGGUCUCGAGUGUUUAUUUGAGCCAUAUAUGUAAGCUUCCCCAUAGAGAUUUUUUGGAGCUAUGUACAAAAAAAAAUGUAAUAUGUACCAUUCAUCGACAGAGAUGGAACGAUGAAAAAAAAAAUCAAAAGCACUAAGAAAAAGAUAAAACUAAAAGUGGCUAAAGUAUUGAUAGCACUUUUCAACCACCGUAACAAAGACUAAUAGUGCCAUGUGGAUACAUCCUUAUUCCAUAAUUUUUUUGGUUGAUGAGCUAUAUGAACUCUGGCCAUUCCGAUCGUCAGAAGGACUAGGGAAUUUUUAAAAUCCUUAUGCAUCCUACAUAUAGGAUAUGCAUAGUAAUUUGAUUUAUUAAAAUGUGCUCGACUAGGUGGCAGCCUCUUGUGCGUGGCCUAGUGCCGCGGCCGCAUCCGAUCCGCCGAGUACCGGCAAAUCUGCGUGGGCCAGGCCAAUAAUGCGAGGCCCUAGCUACCGGCGUGUUACAUGCAUAUUGCACUGAUCAUGACUGAUUUGGUCUGUACUAGCAGGCAGCUCAGGCCUUCUUUAGUAGUUCCAAAAAAUUUUGUAAAAUUUUUCAGAUUUCCCGUAACACCGAAUUUUUAGACAUAUAAAUGAUAUAUUAAAUAUAGAUAAAAAAAUUAAUUGCGCAGUUUGGUUGGAAUUAACGAGACAAAUCUUUUGAGCCUAGUUAGUCCAUGAUUGGAUAAUAUUUGUCAAAUACAAACGAAAAUGCUACAGUAUCGAUUUUCUAAAAUCUUUUAGAACUAAACAAGGCCUCACCCAAAAGCCAAAAUGUUUUUAAGAUUUUUUGUUAAAUUGAAUGUUACAGUACAUAUAUGAAGCAUUAAAUAUAAACGAAAAUAAAAAAUAAUUAUAUAGUUUUCCUGUAAAUUGUGAUAUGAAUAUUUUAACCUUAGUUAGUCUAUCAUUGGAAAAUAUUUACUACAAAUAAACAAAAAUACUAUAGUAACAAAUAACUUUUCGUUUCGGACAACUGAACAAGACCUUAGUAGAGAGCACAGUAAUCAUGCGCUUUUUGACGUUCACUGUUUUGAGUUUCCUCUGCUUUUGAGAAAGCCGUAAAGGGGCUAUUUAGUUAAGCCGUGUUUAUAAGAUUCUCCGUCACAUCAAAUCUUGUAACACAUACAUGACGCAUUAAAUAUAGACGAAAAUAAAAACUAAUUACACAGUUUGCCUGUAAAUCGCGAGACGAAUCUUUUGAUAUUGGAUAAUAUUUGCCACAAACAAACGAAAGUGCUAUAGUAGCAAAAUCCAAAAUUUUUUCGGAUCUAAACAAGGCCUUAGUGAAAAAUUUUGUAAAGUGUAAACGUAGUAUUUUUGUUUCUAUUUGAUAAUUAUUAUUCAAUAUGAAUUAAGUAGACUUAAAAAAUUCGUCUCGUAAAUUACACGUGAAGUAUGCAAUUAAUUAUUUUUUAUCUAUAUUUAAUGUUCUAUAUAUGUGCCGUAAGAUUUGAUGUGAUCUAAAGUCUCGAAAAAAUUUGCAAAAUUUUUGGAACUAAACAGCCCAAAGUUAUCUGUCAAGGUACAGUGGGACACCAGCUUACGCGAAAAAUAUUACAGGUCUUAAUCAUACACUAUCCUGUCACAAUUACAUUCCACCAAAUAUCUGUAACAGGGCAGGUAGCUGGUUUGAAGCCUUUCAUCUAGUCGAAGACGAGAUCUCCUUGAUCUCAUCCACGCUUUCUUUCAACUUUGGCUUAAGUAGGAGAGACCACUUCUACAAAAAAUGGUAGAGUCGAAAACAUGACGUGAGAAGGGUUGUUCGGUAAAUUCUUCUGAAUUGCCAUCUUCUUUCUAGCACUUCUAAUUUAGGCCUUAUUUAGUUUGUAAAAAUUUUCAAGAUUCUCUGUCACAUCGAAUUUUUGGUCACAUGCAUGGAGCGUUAAAUAUAGACGAAAAUAAAAACUAACUGCACAGUUUAUCUGUAAUUUGUGAGUUGAAUCUUUUGAGUUUAGUUACUCCGUGAUUGGACAAUGUUUGUCAAAUAAAAACGAAAUACUAGAGUAGCCAAAAACAAAAAAUUUUGCGAACUAAACAGGACCUUAGGCCCUGUUUAGUUCUCCACCCAAAAAUUUUUCAUCCAUCCCAUCGAAUCUUUAGACACAUGCAUGGAACAUUAAAUGUAGAUAAAAAAAUAAACUAAUAACACAGUUUAGUUGAGAAUCGCGAGACGAAUCUUUUAAGCCUAGUUACUCCAUGAUUAGCCUUAAGUGCUACAGUAACCCACAUAUGCUAAUGAUAGAUUAAUUAUGCUUAAUAAAUUUGUCUUGCAGUUUCCUGACGAGCUAUGUAAUUUGUUUUUUUAUUAGUCUGUAAAAACCCCUCCCGACAUCCUUCCGACAUAUCCGAUGUGACAUCCAAAAAAUUUUCGUUCCCAAUCUAAACAGGCCCUUAGUACAAUCGCAGCUUGUAGUUGCCAUGAAAAGACUUUGGGCCUGUUCCCUUCUAAUUUAAGUGGGUUGUUUGGGCUGCCGGCUGCCGCUGAACAGCCCAGCUGUUCGGCUGCAUGCCUGCAGCAUGUCCCGCUCCGUGCAGCUUCUUUCCUCUUGCUAUCUGCUGCAGCUUCUACAAUGUUGAUGGGCCGGGGUAGCUCCUGCAGCUGCAGCCAGCUGCCAUUUGAUUUUUAUAGAAAUCCUACAUUUUCAAAUACAAUUCAAACUCCUGCGUUUGUCGCCCAAUCGGCCAUUCCUACAAUUGCCCUGUACUCCGAUCUUCUUGAAAGGCGGUGUGAAUUCUCAAGUCCUCGAUCCUCGUCCUAUUUCAUUCUCGGUAGUCAAUGUUUGGGUUCGAACAUCAUGCCUUCCAGUUAAUUAUUCCAUCAAUUCCUGCCAUGGAUUCCUUUCACUCUCUUUAGACCAAUUUGCAGCCACCGUCGACACUGGCCUAUCGAUAUUCUGUACAACAAAUCAGAAAUAAGGAUGUUUUUUUUGAGGAAACUGGAGAGACCGAGGCCUCUACAGAGAGUUUAUUAAAACUGAAAGAACAAGUCAAUAGAGUACAAGAAGAGAGAAAAACAGCAAAGAGGUGCAGGCACCCUACAACUCAGGAAACAAAAAAGAAAACAAAAAAAUCAGCUCUAAACAUCUUGGACUUCUAGACUUUGUAUCCAUGAAGAAAACUGUGGUAAAAUGGAUGGCUUCACUCUAUGCUGCAGAAGAGAUAGCUCCUUUAGGAAGAUCCUUCGACAAUUCAAAAUGCUUAUCCGAACCCCAUUGAAGAUUAACUCGUUUCUCACAUUUCAAAUUGCCCACGAACGCAGAAUGAUAGCAUCCAAGGCAAAUGGGGAGGCCAACUGAUCUUUUAUUUGAGCAAAGAUGUCUGAAUAGUACACUGAAGAGGAAUGAUCACAUUGAUGAGGUCCCAACACAUAGCUGUGAAUGGACAGUCCAGAAACAAGUGCUCAAGUGUUUCUUCUAUCAGGCUGUUGCAAAAGACACAAUUGUAAGAAUCAAGCUGUAAAUUGCUCCUUCUGAGAAAGUUUCUGGUGCUCAGUCUAUCCUUGAUGAGAAGACAAAAGAAAACUUUGUGUUUCGGCUAGCAAUUACUUUUCCAAAGCCAUUUGUAGACUGGAUGAAGCACCGAGUGGCCAACCAGUAGGCGAUAGACCUUUGAGGGAGCAAAAUGGUCAGAGCCCCAACUGUAAAUCCACUUAUCUUGUCAUUGCUCAGCACAAUGCUCUCCAUGAUCUGCUGAACAUUCUGCAACUGCAAGAAGGCCGUCUGAGAGAGGGGGAGCUGAAAUAGGGAGGAGAGUUCAUCUUGUUCAAAGGCCCUUUUCACUGAGAUCUGCUUAUUGAGAGCAAAAGAGAAAAGCUUAGGGGAUGAAUCAAGAAGGAGUUGCUCAUUAAGCCUGGGCAUUCGGAUUACCUGAUUUUUUCGGGUCGAGUAGUUCGGGUAAUUUAAAAUUUGGGUAACAAAAAUUGUUACCCGAUAUUAGUAAAAAAAACACUACCCGCAAUUUCAGGUACCCGAUAAUUCGGGUUCGUGUUGGGGUAUUCCCGAUUUACCCAAAUUUUCAGAAAACAACACACUAUACAAAAUUUCAAUAGAAAUUUAUAUAUAAUUUCAGCAACAAUUUGUAUAGAAUUUGAAUAGCAUUUUGUAGAGAAUAAUAUAUUACUAUCAGUUGUUCAAACAAAGAGAAUUAUGUUCUAAUAAAUUGAUAAGUUUUAAUAUUUAACUAAUAACACAUGAUAAAUACAAAGAUAUAGACAAAUAUUUGGGUAAUUUGGGUAGUUCGGGUACCGGGGGAUACUACCCGAAUUACCCUGGGUAAUCAAAAUUGCUAUCCGAAUUUAGGAUCGGGUACCUCGGGUUCGGGUAAUUCGGGUCCGGGUCCAGGUAAUUCGGGUACGAGUAAUGGAUAUUGGGUAAUUUGCCAGGCUUAUUGCUCAUGCCAAGCAUCAUGCCAGAAAAAAGAGGAAUCCCCAAAAUGCAAUUGUGGCUUAGAAAAGCUUUUAAAGGCUUGAAGAAGCAUUGGGUUAUCUCUCCACUAGAAAGACCCCUUUUUAUGUGAUUUGGCAAUUUUUCAUUUAUAUAAUGCUUUUCCAAGAUUAGCUCAACCCAAGGAACAUCAGCCCUGUUGAAGAAUUUAUGCAGAUUUUUUUGAGAGGAGGGCAUUUUUCUGCUUCUCAAUGUCAAUGACACCUAGGCCCCCCUCAUCCUUUGGGGGCACAAACCAUCUUCCAAGUAGCUUUAGGCAUUCUCUUAGGAUUAAUAUCUGAUACCCUCCAUAGACAGUGCUCCCUAAAUUUAUCAAUCUGCUUGAUGACCCCCUUGGGCAAUUUCAGGGUGCACAUGAAGAAAGUUGGGAGGGCUGAAAACACAGCAUUAGUCAUUUGGAGCCUCCCAGCAAGGUUCAGAAAGCUUGAAAUACGAAAGAGUCUCUUCUCACAUUUAUUUAUCACUGGCAGAAAGUCUUAGGCCUUGGGUCUCUCUAUAUUAAGGGGGAGCCCCAGAUUGGUGAAGGGCAGACUCCCCUUGGAGCAUCCAAAAGUAGCAGCUAGGGUGUCUAACUUUGCAUCAGAAAGGUUUAUAGGGACCAUCAUGGACUUGUUGAAGUUAACUUUCAGCCCAGUAAACGUGGAGAAGCUGUUGAUCAGAUAUUUCAUGAAGAACAAUUGCUUGACAUCCCCUUCCAUUACAAUCAAAGUGUCAUCAGCAUAUUGGAUGAUAGGAAAGUCACUGGUAGAAUUCAGUGAGGAUAGGCAGCCUGAGCAAACCCAUUUGUAAGGCCUUGUUGAUCAUGGAUUGGAGGAAAUCUGCUGCAGUUACAAAAAGAAGGAGAGGGUCCCCUUGCCUGACACCCCUCUUGCAGUGAAUAGUUUUACUAGGAACACCAUUUUAAAGUACAGUAGAGGUCCCUGAGGAGAAGAUAGAGUCCGUCCAUUGUAAUCAUUUUUCUCCAAAGCCCAUGGCCCUCAUGAUUGUAAUCAUAACAUGGUGUUCAAUCUUAUCAAAAGCCUUCUCAAAGUCCAGCUUAAUGAUCACAAUCUCCUUCUUAGAGUGGUGGCAGAGAUGCAGAUAUUCAAAUGCCCAGCCCAGACAGACCUGAAUAGUUCUAGACUUGAUGAAUCCAUACUGAUUCUUAUGAACCAGGGAGGUGAUAUGCUGCUGAAGCCUGAUGGCCAGAAUUUUGGUGAUGAGUUUUAAUGAAGAAUUGAGUAAGGAGAUUGGCCUGAACUCAUUGAUCAAACAAGCAUUGUCCACCUUAGGAUUAAGGGUAAUAAAUGAGGAUUUGAUGCUUCUAAGGCAGACAGAUCCAUCAAAGAAGUCAUUACAGAGCUUAUAGAAGUCAUGCCUGAUAAUUGGUCAACAUCUUUUCAUAAAUUCAUUGUUGAAGCCAUCUGGGCCUGAAGAUUUAUCAUUUGGAAGACUUUUAAUCACUGAUUGAUUUCUUUUUCAAGACGACAGAUCAAUAUUCUUGUGCACAAAGAUACUAGGAUCAACCACAAAGCUGUUCAAAUCUGAGGUACCCAAUCUGUCCUUGUAAUCUUCCCACAACAUCUUUUCUUACCAGAGUGAUCAUUGACAAUAGAUCCAUCGGUCUUCAGGAGUUCCCUGAUAAGAUUACCUCUGUGCCUAAUGGUUGCAUUGGCAUGAAAGAGGUAAAAAAAGUUUUCUAUCUAACAUAGAGAGCCUGUUUGGUUCACAGACAUACUCCACCACACCACAUCUGAGAUGGCGCCACCAAAAUGGGAGCAAUUGUUUGGUUGGCGACGCAUACAUGGCAACAUAAAAACUCGCUGAAGAAGCGUCGAGGAAUCUCAUCAUAAGGUGUGCGCCAAAAAACUUCGCUAAACUUGUGGCACACCCCACCUUUUUUUAAAAAAAAGGGCUGGACGGGCAGAAGCCCCUACAGAAAUUUAUUGAAAAAAAGAAAACAGUUGGUCCAAACAAACAACUAAACAACCAGACAACUAACUAAACGGUAGCUGGCAUCCAUACCUUCACUUGGCGAGCGGUAGCUGGCAUCCAUACACGCUCAUAUACUUAGCUCACAAAAUUCUGUACCAUGCUUGUGAUAGAAAUACAACAUACAACUUGUUGCGUGGUACCUAGACAAGUUGUGGUUCUAACAUUUAUACAAUGAUCGUGUCAUGCAUAUAUGUAUUGAUAUGUCUUGAAAUUGAACUCUGAUAAACGAAUUAUGUAAUCGAUAUUUGACUUGUAAACAAUCUAAAAUGGGAAAAAUUUUGACUACAAAGUGUUAAAUUUUAUCGAGCACUACAACUUUGAUAUAGGAGAUGUCUCCAUCUAAGGUAAAUUAAAAAAAUAAAAUUUAUAGUUCAAAAUCUAAGAACUUAAUAUUUACAUCCGGGCUCCUAAACAAUCUCGAAUAAAAAUUCAAUCAACUAUAAAGUUUUAGAUCUCAUAGAGCUCUUAAUUUUCGUAUAAAUUUUUGUCUCCAUCCAACUUCAUUUGAAAAAGUUUGUACUAUAACUAUUUUUAAGGGCAGGGGCAGUAUAUUUUUAUAGGUGGUUGGCAUAAGACUGAAAAUCAUAUGUUCAGAAGUGGCUCUCUUAAACAAACCAUCCAUAAAAAUAGAUGUAUUUCUAAUGACGAUUUACUUAAUAGAAACACCCCUAAAAAUGUAUUUCCAUGGGUGGUUUAUAAGCUACGGUGCUCAGUUAGUUAUAAACGGUUUGAUAAGUAAACUAUUCCAGUAGGAGGCAUCUUAAAAAAAAUCUUUUUUUACUAGUGUAUGCACUCAUUGGAAGUAUCAUUGGGGUCACUAGAGGCUUUCGGUGCCUUUCUAGACUAGCCAUUGGAACUAGCCGUUAGGUCGCCCUUUAUUUGGCAUCCAACAUCCAGUGCCACCGGAGAUUUUUGGUGAGCUUACAAUUUUUAACAAAAUAUCACUGAAAUUUCUGAAACAUAUUGUCUUUUUCUCAGAUUUUUCUUUAUCAGUGAGGUAUGGCAGCCCGUUGUAUUAUCGUGAUGAUAUGUUGUGUUAUUUUCUCAAUGUUAUAUAAAUUGUGAUGGAUUAAAGAAUUUUUCAAGUGAAGUGAUAUCAAUUUUUUUUAAAAAAAUUCAAUUCAAAUUUAUUUAAAUUUGACCUAAUAUUUUUUAAAUUUCAUGUUCACCUUGGUGAGCACUGAUGCUCUUGGAUUCACCUCUGUAAGCCCAUCGGAGAUGCUCUGUCGUCCUCCGGUGCACUUCAUUCACCGGACUUUUCCGGUGCCUUAUGCACGACUCUGCAUAUUCUCUGUUCUGCACCUAUUUCUUCGAUGCCUCUACUUCAACUCACUAGACAUUUCUGGUGAGAUCUUCCCUUCUCUAUAGAUUAGUCCUGCACGCGUAUUUUCUGCUGUGUUAGUCCUUGGGGACCACCGAAUAAUUCUGGUGAAGGCUGUCUGUAUUCAUUUUGAUCCUUCUCUUCAUCUCUUCACUUCCGGUCUUGUUCAACUUGGUGUUAUGGACAUGUAGCAUAUGUCAUGUAGGUUUUUAACGGCAGCCCUAAUGUGUUUGUUUGAGCCUUUGAGGUGUUGAUCGCUCCGAUCUUCAUGAUGCCUAAUUCCAUGCCAACCGCAUCCAAUGAAUUAAACCUAACAGUUUUUUCGGCUCCUGAUUAGAGCUGUUGUAAAAAAUAUCUAGCAUAAGCCCGCUGGUAAGGGCCACUAUGCAUAGAAUUUAUAAACAAUAACACCAAUCCGUUAGUGUGUGCUUGUACCAGUGCUCGUGAGCUGCACAUUUAUUAAUGUGCUCUAUCUUCGUGUUCCCGUUUGUACUAGCAGCAUAGAGGCUAGAGUGUGGUAUGCCCACAUUCACCAAGUUCCCGGAACGAUGGGGUCAUGGAAUGAGGAACGCUCUUUGAGAAAGGAUUUUCUACUGUCGGAACGAAACUGAUCUACGAUCCCGGUGACUCAUGUGACUGUGGGUAUGCGUAUGUCUAGUGCAAUGCGUUAAUAAAUUUUAAAGAUGUGGAACGGGUUCACUUUUACACCCUCUAUUAAAAAUAUCGGUUGUUUAAGCUUUGUCCCAAGUGAAAUUAAACUUGGGUAUCUUUAACUUUACAUGAAAAAUAUAAUAAUAUCUAAAGCGUUGUAUUAAUUUAUUCCUUAAAUUAUGUCUUAAUUGGUCAAAGUUAAAGAGAGUUUUAUAGUUAUUAGGACAAAACCAAAUUGGAAGAAACCUGCAUUUACAAACAUGGGCAUUACCGAAACACAACAGAACCAAGCGUAUCUAUCUUUUCUUUUUGAGAACAUUAUUCCGGAUAUCUUCAUUUUUUUUAGAAAAUAAAAAACUUCCGGCCGGCCUCUGCAUUACAAUUUACAAUGUUAUCAGCUUAUUGUUAAUCUCUUCAAUAGUUCAACCAUUCUUAUUGGAAUGCAACUAUGUUCAAACACAAAACCAACGGCAAGCAGUAAAAGCGAGACGAUAACAUGGAGUUAGUUAUUAUUAAUCAAACACGGAGGGCAGAUAACAGUUAUCGGAAAGAAGUUCAUCUCAAAGACUCAAACAAGCAGACGGAAAUCGGCCAUUGGAUGAUCACACGCAGCUCGAAUUUGCGUUGCUUGUCGUCCUAGCUUAGCCAAUGUAGUACAAGGGGUCGGGCAGCUUGAAGGUGCGGGCGCCCUCCGGUGCGCCGAGGAUGUCGCUCCACUGGUCGCCGAUGUUGCCGACGAUGACAUAGCCUCCGUCCUGGAGCUUCUGGCGUUCACCGGACUUGAAGCCAAUGGCGGUGCCCUUGAAGCCGAUGGGGUUGAGCAGCAGCUUCUCCCAGCCGGAGUAGCCCUGGCGGCGGUGGUUGGCCACGGUGAUGGCCCUCUGGUCCUCGGUGCGACCCGUCAGGAGCACCGGCUUGAUGCCGAGCGAGAUGAGCUUGUUGAAGAGCCGCAGGUACUCGUUGAAGUCUCCGGCAGCACCGGUGCGCUGCCCUCCAGCACGUACUCGUUGAAGCUCGUGGCGUUGUACGGCUUAGUACUGUGAUCAAGAAAAGAAACACGCUGAUUAGCUAGGGCUGCAGGUUGUUAAACGUAUAGUUUAGUACUAUGAGUGGUAUGUAAAACCAUCUAGUCAUUUAUGUAUCCUCUGGUUCGAACUCUACAUUGCUAGUAGUUUUUUUUCCCUGAGAUGUGAAUGUGAUUGCUACUGGGGCAGAGAAAUUUUGCUUUUCUCUGCUGUGGACUUUCCCUGAAUGGAAAGCAGGUGAGCCGUAUGCCCGUAUCUGAUUAAUUGAUGGACUCUUUCUUAAAUCCAACGUGGAGCAGAAAAAAAAAGUAUAGCAAAAAAUUUGCAUUAUUAGGUCAGUCUCAAUGGGAGUUUCAUUUGCAUUAAAUAGGUUGCCACAUAGGCUGUUUUGAUGACAUGGCAGUGUAUUUAAGAAGAGAGAGAAGAAAUGAGUUUCAUCUAGAUGAAACUCUCUUCGCACGAUUACCAACUCUCUAUGAGUCUUGGAAUUAAAUGCUUAUGAAACUAUGAAAUGAAACUCUCCAUUGAGAGUGGGUGUUUCAUUCAAGUUUCAUUUUAUUUCAUAUGACAUGACAGUCUUGGAAACAACGUCAUGAAACUCUCCACUGAGACUGGCCUUAUUAUUAUUAUUAUUAUUAUUAUUAUUAUUAUUAUUAUUAUUAUUAUUAUUAUUAUUAUUAUUAUUAUUAUUAUUAUUAUUAUUAUUAUUAUUAUUAUUAUUAUUAUUAUUAUUAUUAUUAUUAUUAUUAUUAUUAUUAUUAUUAUUAUUAUUAUUAUUAUUAUUAUUAUUAUUAUUAUUAUUAUUAUUAUUAUUAUUAUUAUUAUUAUUACUACUACUACUACUACUAUUAUUAUUAUUAUUACUAUUAUUAUUAUUACUAUUAUUAUUAUUAUCUUAUUGUUGUUAUUAUCUUAUUGCUGUUGUUGUUAUUAUUGUUCUUGUUAUUGUAAUUGUUUAUUAUCAUUGUUAUUAUUAUUUUUAUUAUCAUUGUUGUUGUUGUUGUUGUUGUUGUUGUUAUUGGUACUACUACCACUAGUACAAAAAUCAUUUUUGCUGGCACGUUUUUUUUUUCACAGGCGGUUCACAAUAUCUUGGCGCUAGUAGAAAAAUUUCAGCGGGCCCAACAAGAGAACCGCCUAUGUAAACACGUUUACACAGAUGACCUUCUUAAUAAAACCGCCUGUGUAAACUUUCCAUUUACACAGGCGGCUUACGAUAAAAACCGCGUGUGUAAAUACCAUUAACACAGACGGCCGAGUUACGGCAACCGCCUGUGUAAAUGUGUCUUUUUACACAGUCUGUUUGUAUAGAGGACCGCAUGUGCUAAUGUAUUUACACAGACGGCCCUCUUUAUGAGCCCCCUGUGUUAAGUCUGCUAUAAAUACCCUUCGUCUACCUCCACACAAGAACAGUUACUCCCAUGAGCUCUCCACACUGGCGAACCACACGAUUCCAGUUUCCAAGGGGGGAGGUUUUGAUCUUCAUUUCUUUGGUGAGAAACUUCUAAAAGGUUAGUUAGAGCCCUUGAUGCUAUUUUUUUAGUGAUUCUUUGGUUCAAUUCUUGUAUUGGAGGUGCUCUAGAUCUAGAGUUCAUGAAGCAUUCUUGCUUAGGGUUAGGGUUCAUAGGGCAAGAGAGAGAGUUUUAGGUAAAUUUUUAUGUAAAUUCAUAGUAAAUUGUAAAAAUUAAAAAAAAAAUAGAAAAUAAAUACUUUUUAGAAUUCUUGUGAGUAGAUCUAUACAAUAGAGUAAUGAUGAGGACAUUUUGAAGUUUAUAAUUUUGAUUCAGUUUUAGUUUUUAUUUUUUCAGAUGAAUUAGACUUUAUAAACUCAAACAUUAAAAUGCUGAAAAUCAUAAAGUGGCAAAUAAAUACUUUUUCAAAUCUUUGUGCGUAAAUACUUUAUAGAAAUCCUUGAAUUAUUCCUAAAUUUUAUACAAUUGUUUCUUAUAAUUAUGAAAAUGAGUUUAAACAAUUAUUUAAAUUCCAUAAAUUAUAAACUCUGUAAGGGGUAGGUUUUCAUCUCUGUUUAAUAGAAGGAGGUUAGUAUCAUAGUUAAGUCUUUUUUCGGGGGUUAUAUUAGUUUUGUUUUUAGAUUGACCUACAUUAAUUGUUCUUAACUAAUUACAGCUAAAUAUAGAGAGAUCAUUAUGGAUGUACAACUUAUCAAGAUUGGACCCAUCAUAUGUAGUGGAGGUCCAAAAAUUUAUUGAUGUCGCAAAGAUACAUGUUCGCAGAACAAAGGCGAAGCACAUAUGUUGUCCAUGCGCAGACUGUAAAAAUAUUGUGGUAUUUGACAAUGUAGAAGCAAUUACUUCCCAUCUGGUUUGCAGAGGAUUUAUGGAGCACUACUUGAUUUGGACAAGACAUGGUGAGGAUAGUUCUGCACCUUAUAUGCGGACAACUGACAACACUGCAACUAACAUCAAUGUGGAGGGUCCAAUGCCACCUCUCAAUGAAUUUCAUGCUAUGCCAGAUGUCAAUAAAACUCAUACGUCUGAUAUCAAUGAAACUCAGCAUGCUAACAUAGAUGCUGUUGAAGAUGCAGAUUUCUUAGAGGCAAUAAUGAACCGUUGUGCAGAUCCAUCAAUAUUCUUCAUGAAGGGAAUGAAAGCAUUGAAGAAGGCAGCAGAGGACACUUUGUACGACGAGUCGAAAGGUUGUACCAAAGAGUGGUCGACAUUACGUGCUGUUCUUCAGUUUUUGACGGUGAAGGCUAGACAUGGUUGGUUUGAUGCUAGCUUCAAUGAUUUUUUGCAUGUACUUGGAGACCUUCUUCCUAAGGAGAACAAAGUGCCUGCUAACACAUACUAUGCAAAGAAGCUAGUCAGUCCACUUACGAUAGGUGUUGAGAAGAUCCACGCAUGUAGAAAUCAUUGUAUUCUAUAUCGGGGUGAUCAAUUUAAAGACUUAGACAGUUGUCCAAACUAUGGUGUUAGUAGAUACAAGACAAACAAAGAUUAUCGGAAGGAAGAGAAUCUAGCCUCUGUUUCUACAGGGAGGAAGCGAAAGAAGACCCAAACAAAGACUCAACAAGACAAACGCUCAAAGCCUAGUAGCAAUGAAGAAGUGGACUAUUGUGCAUUGAGAAGAAUUUCUGCUUUGGUGAUAUGGUAUCUCCCCGUGGUUGAUCGUUUGAGGUGUUUGUUUGCAAACCGUGAAGACGCUGAACUUAUGACCUGGCAUGCUUCAGAUGAAAGGAAAGAUGAUGGAAAGUUACGACAUCCAGCCGAUGCAAAGCAAUGGAAAGAUUUCGAUAAGAAAUAUCUAGACUUUGCUGACGAUCCACGGAAUGUAAGGUUUGCACUGAGUACUGAUGGAAUGAAUCCAUUUGGCGAAAGGAGCAGCACGCACAGCACAUGGCCGGUGAUCCUGACAAUAUACAACCUUCCUUCUUGGUUGUGUCAAAAGAGAAAAUAUCUUUUGCUAACCAUUCUUAUUUCUGGACCUACACAACCUGGAAUUGAUAUGGAUGUAUUUCUAGAGCCCUUAAUGCAAGACAUGCAAACACUAUGGGAAGUAGGUGUGGACAUGAUCGAUGCGUUCCGCAAAGAGACAUUCACAGUGAGAGCAAUUAUUAUUGUCACAAUUAAUGAUUACCCUGCUCUCUUCUCAUUAUCAGGCCAGUUCAAGGGAAAGGUUGGUUGUGUAGAGUGCAUAGAUGGAACAUGACACGUGUCUCUUCCUGCAUCUAACAAGAUAGUGUACAUGAGGCACAGAAGAUGGCUACCGGCAGGCCAUAAGUACCGCUUACAAAAGAUGAAUAAGUACUUCGACAAAAUUGAUGAAUCAAAAUCUACUGCUCCAUCAGGUUGUAGUAAAGGGCAUAGAGUGUACAAGAUAGUUGAGAAUGUGAAGUUUGUUUUUGGAAAGAAGACCAAAGAUGGGAAACCAAGAAAGGUUGUCAAGGCAAAUGAAGGGCACACAAGUCCAUUUUCUUCAAGUACUUAUCGUACUGGAAAGACUUGGACGUACGACAUGCGAUCGAUGAUAUGCAUGUUCAGAAGAAUGUGUUUGAAAGCAUAAUUGGAACCUUGUUAGACAUAAAGAGCAAGACAAAGGAAGGUCUCAAUUCACAUUUGGACAUGCAACAUUUAAAGAUCAGAAAAGAACUUCACCCUGUACUCCUAGAGAAUGGGAAGUACCACCUACCGGCAGCAAGCUACAACCUGAACAGAGAGGAGAAACAUGCAAUGUGUGUGUGGUUCAAGAAUUUAAAAGUUCCAUCUGGUUUCUGCUCCAACAUAAGGAGUCUUGUGUCGAUGAAAGACCUUACAUUCACCAACUACAACUCACAUGAUUGUCAUGUCAUGCUGACCACUUUUCUUCCUAUCGCCAUCAGGGCUAUAAAUCCAGUGUUCUUAAAGAUGGCAAUCACAUAGCUGUGCUACUUCUUUAAUAAGAUAUCUGAGAAGGUAAUUGUCCGUGAUGAGUUAGAGUCCCUACAAAAAUUUGCUGCAGAGACAUUGAGCUAGUUGGAGAUGUGCUUUCCCCCAUCGUUCUUUGAUAUCAUGGUACACCUUGUUGUUCAUUUGGUACCUCAAAUAGAGGCAUUAGGUCCCAUGUAUUUCCAUGAAAUGUGGACGUUUGAGCGUUUCAUGUCAAUAUUGAAUGGCUAUAUGUCAAAUCGUGCUCAUCCGGAGGGUUCCAUGAUAGAGGCGUACACUACAGAAGAGGCCAUUGAGUCUGGAGGACCAUUAUGUAAUAAUCUCCUAAAAGACCAGGUAUCAAUUGGUUUGCCUCCAUUGCGACAUGAGGGAAGGCUUGAUGGACGCGGGAGAAUGGGACGGAAAUCAUUCAUCCCGCUAGAUUACAACAUAGUCCUAGAGGCACAUUAUAGCAUACUACAACAACUCAUAAUAAUGGACCCAUUCAUUGAGCAACACAUGAAAGAGCUUCGUGAGAAGAAUCCAGGAUGCACAAAUGAUUGGGUACACAAGAAACACAAGCGUCAGUUCACCACAUGGUUAAAGGAUUUGGACAUGACAGAGGAAUCAGAAACCAUCAAGAUUUUAGCAUCUGGACCAUCAAGCCAGGUCACAUCAUGGCAGAGCUAUGACAUUAGUGGCUUUUCAUUUUCCACCAGCUAUAGGGACACCAAGAGCAUGGCACAGAAUAGUGGCGUUUGAUGCGAGGCUAUAGAUGAUGCAACUGGUGAAACAACUACAUACUUUGGGUUCAUUGAUGACAUAUGGGAGGUAGAAUAUGGUCCACUCCUGCAAAUUCUAGUGUUUUGAUGCCGAUGGGUUCAAGAUAAACAUGUCACUGUGGAUAACUAUGGCCAGAGAGUUCUUGACCUAAGUAAAGUAGGUUAUAAAGAUGAUCCGUGGAUCCUUGCUAAACCGUGCCGCACAAGUCUUCUAUGUGGAACAAAUCCUUUCUAAGGAUGAAAAGAAAAAUAGCCAAAAGCCAAAGCAUAUAGCUAUUCAUGGAAAGCAACAAAUUAUAGGAGUUGAUGGUGUAAUAGAUUUAGAGGAUGUUAACCAAUUCAGCGAGAUGUCUCUUUUUACAAACUUUCAAGAAAACAUAAAAAAUGUUGAGAAAAGUAUCCCACAAUCCUCAUUGCCAUGGGUGCGCCACGAUGGACAAGGAAGGACUGUAGCACGCUAGAUUCUAUAAGUUGUCAUUACUCAUGUAUCACUUAUCAUUUGUACCUUAUGCUACUAUUUCUUAUUAAGCAACAUGUUUACAUUUUCCAUUUGUUUUAUAUCUUAUGCUAUUUUAUAAUAUUUGUACAAUUUAUUACGGAUUAUUUAAUUUUUGAAACAAACAUAAUUAACAAACCAUUAAUCACUAAGUAAAUUAAUUAACAAAGCACUCCUUUUCUAUUUUAACAGAGGACGUCCGCGCCACCGUUGAGGUGAGCCGAGGUGUGGCGGCGGCAGCCGUGCGCGUCGCCGCCCCUCCCAACGCCGGCGGCAGCCAGGCAGCUUGCUGGGCCCUGGGCCGGGUAGGCCGCCCUUGCUGCCUUUUUUUUAGUUUUUUGUAAAUUAUUUAUUUGUUAAUUAUUGAUUAAUUAUUUAAUUGUUAAUUAGUAAUUAUUUGUAAAUUAUUUAUUACUUUAUUAAUUAUUGAUUAAUUAAUUAUUUGUUAAGUAGGGUUUCUUAAUUAGGGUUUGUUAGUUAUUUAUUUGUUAAUUAAUUAUUUAUUUAUUAAUUGUUUGUUAAGUAGGGUUUCUUAAUUAGGGUUAGUUAGUUAAUUAAUUGUUAAUUAUUUAUUUAUUUAUUAAAUAUUGAUUAAUUAAUAAAUUGUUAAGUUAUUUAUUUGUUAGUUAUUAAUUAGUUAUUUAUUUGUUAAGUUAUUAAUUAGGGUUUGUUAGUUAUUAAUUAGUUAUUUAUUUAUUAAUUAUUGAUUAAUUAAUUAUUUGUUAAGUAGGGUUUUUAAUUAGGGUUAUUUAUUUGUUAGUUAUUUAUUUAUUAAUUAGUUGUUAGUUAUUUGUUGAGUAGGGUUUCUAAAUUAGGGUGUCUUAGUUAAUUAUUAAUUAGUUAUUUAUUUGUUAAGUAUGGUUUCCAGGAUGUCCGCUAGUGUUAAUUAGGGUUUGUUAAUUAAUUAGGGUUUGUUAAUUACAGUUUGUUAGUUAAUUGUUUAUUAAUUAUUUGUUUGAUUAGAUGAGUACUCCAUCGAAUGUUGGAGCCCAGAUAGAAACACCGGGAUCCGACACUUAUAGAAGCCCGAGCGUAUCACCACGUGAAUCCCCCACAUCUAAGAAGGCUCGUCUAGAGUUGGAACAUGACCCGACAUACGAGCCUCAAGCUGAUCCGGAUGAUGAUGAGGUAUAUAUUGUAGUAAAGUGUCUAUACAAGAGAAUACAUGUGUAUAUAUGUAUGUACCUAACAAUUGAAUGGACAGAAGGUGUUAUCUCAAGUUGUUGCCGAAAUGGAGGCAGAAGAACAAGAUGUUCAGAAGGACACGGCGCCUCAAACGACUGGGACAUCCUCUGAGCCAAGAAGUAAAACAAAAAAAGUGAUCGGGCAGAAGAAGUUUAUCAGAUUAUAGAGUUAAGUCCGAGCGGAGAGCCCUUAGCACCUCUAGAGGCGCUACCCAAAUUUAGGGCCGCAAUUGGAUUUUUAGUAAAAGAGGAAUUUGAUAUCACUUGGAGUGAUUGGAGUAUGGUGCCACAAGUGAAAAGGACCACUUGCUGGAAUCGCUUGUGCACUUGAUUUAUUUUUCCGGAUGGUACAGAUGAUUUGGCCAAGGGUUUUGUCAUGAAGCAAUUGGCAAUAUCAUUCCGGGGCUAUAGGCACGAUAUGAACAAAAAGUGGUUGCAGAAGGGACCGGACCCGACGAAGCGGUACCCUAUCACAGAGGCUCAGUGGGCAUGUUUUCGUUUGAUGAGAGAAUCGGAUGAUGCCAAGGCUAAGAGCAAAGCCGCCUCUGAACUCGCGAAGAGGAACAAGUAUCACCACCACCUUGGCACUGGUGGUUAUAAGACCAAGAUUCCUAAAUGGAGGGCAGAAGACGAUGCAAAGAGGAGAGAGGGCCAUUUGGAAUUGACCGAUAUAGUGCCUGAAAGGAGUGCGAAUUGGCUUCGCACUCGGAAGGCAAACACUAAGAGCGAUGAGAUGUCAUGUCCCGAUGAGAUUAGAGAAGUUGCCGACAAGGUUUUGGAAGCAUCAAACCUGGAAAAGAAAGGUGCCUUCAAGUCACAGAGGGAGAGGGACAUCCUUACCCAUGCUCUAGGUAACCCCGAGCAUCCAAGACGUGUACGGGGAUUCUCCUCCAGAAUUAGUUGGAAAGAAGGAUUCGGUGAUGAGUGGAAAGACAUGUAUAAGAAAAGAGACCGACAUAAGGAGAAAAUGAAAGAUUUUUUUGAGGAGCAGGCUGCAAAAAAGUUUAGGGAUAUGAUGGAAGACUUCUUUACAAAUCCUGAUCCUAAAGUGAUGAAGCAGUUGGCAGGAGCAGUGUCUGCUCAACAAAUGUCCUCACAAGCUCCUUCGCAUAUGCAGCUUGUACCAGCUCAACCCUUGGAGCGUCAAGAGAUGGCCACACAAUCUAUGCCCUUUCCAAGCAGUAUAGUGUCAACAACAAAUAAGGACCAUUAUCCAGUUGAUGAUAUUGAUAGACCUUGGCCUUGCUCCUUGGUCAUAUCCUAUGGCCUUAAGAAUCUGCAUACAAAGCAAGUGGCCACCGGCAAUGCUAUCCCAGGACGUACAUUCCAUACUGUUGACAUGCAAGAUGCAUACUGUAGGGUGGAAGUGUUGACGGUCGAGGUCGGAUAUGAAGACGACUUCAUAGACAUCCCGACCUCUUGAGGGUAUAGAGAAGCUUGGACAAGCAAUCAACAACUUCAUACAAUGGCCGAGACGGUACGUAAGGUUGAUUGAUCCACCAGCGCCACCCUCUCCAAGCAUAGUGCCUCAACCAUCCCAAGAGGCCGAAACAUAUCAACAGCCACCAUCACCAAUGCAUGCUCCAGCAUCCCCGUACAUUUAUGAGCCACCACCAUCCUCCCCAAUACAUGAGAUGGCAUUCUUGCAGAAUGAGCCCGAGGUGCCAGCCAAGGAGAACAUGCCUGAGCAGCAGACUCCGCCAUCCAAGGAGAAUAAGCAAACUCCCCCACCACCUCCAAAGGAGAAGGAUGAGCAGACUCCCCCACCACCUCCAAAGCAGAAGGAAGAUGAGCAAACUCCCCCAGCAGCACCGGCCUCUAAGAAGGUGAAGAAAUUUCCAAUUCCAAAAUUGAUUUCUCCCUAUGAGCCAAAAAAGAGGAAAGCAGCAGGCACAGCUCUCUUUCUGAAAGGACUUGGAAAGCAGCGGACGACACGGCUUAUUGAGCUCGAACCGUCAUAGAAAAAGGAAGCCACCGCCCAGUCAAUAGAAGCCAUGCCCCCAUCAAAGGAAGCCCCAAGUGGCGAUGUACAUGUCAAACAGCCAUCAAGUCAACCAUUGACCCUAAAGGAUAUCAGAAAGCCAACGAUUGAUGAUUAUGUCAAUGUCCCCAGUGACUAUGUGCCCGGAAGGCCUAUGCUCCAAUGGACGCUGCUUGAUAAGAUUCAAUGGCCGAUAAAAAGGUUUCAUGACUGGUACAUGAGAGCAGUGUAUGCUGGCCUCCAUGCAAUCAGAGUUGAUAUACCAGCAGACGUGUUUGCUACUGGUAACGAAAAAAGUAACGCAUUUGUUACCUUUGAGGACAUGCACUUGUUAUUGAACUAUAGGCGGCUUGACGUCCAACUCAUAACAAUUUGGUGUCUGUAAGUAUCACUCAUGCACACACAAUUAUUAUUAAUAUGUAGUGUGAAACUCUAAUAUGUAGAUGUUGUCUGUAGUUUGCAAGAUCAUGAGCAGAGGUCAUUAUUAUCUACCGGAUCGAUGGUCGGUUAUCUGAGCCCUAUCAAGUUACAAGAAAAUAUGCACAAAUUUGUAUUAUCAAAGGAAGAUAGAGCAAAGAUAGAGGAAUACAAAACACCAGAAGAAGUUGCAGAAGCUAUAAAAGAGUUGCAAAGAAAAUAUGAGGAUAAUUAUGCCCUCUAUUUUGGUAGAUCAAUGCUGAGGUAUAAUCAUAGGGAUUUUAUAUUGGCACCUUACAACUUUAGGUAAGCUUGACUUCAUAUACGUACUUCAAAUAAUUAUCGUGUAAACAAUAUACAUGUGUCGCUCACUCAUUUAUUCAUGCAGUGACCAUUGGAUUGUUUUUUAUAUUUAUCACUUCGAAGGGAAGGUGCUUGUCCUAGACUCUUUACAUGUUCCUCUCGAGAAGUAUCAACCAUUUUUGGUUCAAUUAGAAAGGUGAGCCAACAUGAAACCACAUGCGUACUUUUCAAAAUAACUUUAGUGAUUUAUAUUCGAUAUCUACAGGGCAUGGCGGUUUUAUAAGAAACAAAAGGGACCGGUCGACGCCACACGCUCAGAUCCUAGGGUGCCAUUGAUGAUACAACACCACUAUUCGGUAAGUUGUCCGAACACAUUUCAUCAUAUAAAUAAUACAUAAAGCAUGGAAAAUUUAGAAUAAUCCGUUGCUCAUUAUAUAGUGCCACAAGCAACCACCUAGAUCGGUCUAUUGUGGGUACUAUGUCUGUGAGUUUAUAAGGCAGCGGGGACGUUACGUCAGGGACAAAAAUAUGGUAAAUAAUAUCUAUGUAUGAAGUUUUCUUAUUAAAGUUGUAAAAUUAUAUAUUGAACAUGUGUCAAUCAUGCUUUUUAAACUUUGUUUCCAGCAAAAAAAACAAGGAAAGGACGUGCCCUUUACACCAAAGACUCUGGAAGAUAUAGUAGCAGACUUGUGUGGUUUUAUUAUGAGAGAAAUAAUUCUAAGUGACGGUGCAUAUUUUGAUCAUGAGGGCGAUUUGGCAAGUGAUAAAUUUAGAGUGCUGACAGACAUAGCAGGUCUAAAUCUGAAGUGAAAUGACAUGUAAACACUAUAUGGUUGUGCGGAUAACAUGCAUUGACGUAUAUAUAUAUAUAUAUAUAUAUGUGUGUGUGUGUGUGUGUAAUUUUAUGGUUGAUGUUUGAUUUCAUGUUUACAAUUCUAUAAUAUAUAUAUGUGGUGUAUGUAUGAUGUGUGUGUAUGUGUGUGUAUAUAUAUAUAUAAAUGAUGUUUAGCCCUGUGGUGGGAAAAAUUAGAAUUUGAAAUAUAUAUAAAAAAUUAUUUACACAGGCGGUGUAGUGUGAGCCGCCUGUGUAAAAAUACAUUUAUACAGGCGGCUCACCUUGUCAGCCGCUUGUGUAGAAAUACAUUUACACAGGCCGCUGGCUAGGUGAGCAGCCUGUGAAAACCUAAUUUUCACAGGUGGCUCACACAGCCCCGCCUGUACUGUGGUCCAUUUUGUACUGACCCUGGUAUAGGUGGUGGGCUUAGCCGUCUGUGAAGAUGCUUUUAGCACCGCCUGUAAAAAUAUUUUCUGUAGCAGUGUACUAUUGCUGUUAUCAUUACUAUUAUUAUUACUAUUAUAUUAUUAUAUAGAUAAUUAGUAAUAGAUUUAGAUAUAGACAGAUAUAGAUAUAGAUUACUGGAUAUAGAUAUAUACAUGGAUAUAGAGAUUACGUCCGUUGGUUGAAUCGCGUCGUAUGUGUCGUGUCGUGUGUGUGUACGUACCCGAAGCCCUCUCUGGCGUAGUAGGGGAAGGUGGAGAGCGAGGUCUCGUCGACAUCAAACACCCACACCUCCUUGCCGUUGCCGGCGAGCUUGAGCCCCUCGGCGUACGCGAUGGCCUCGUCGACGACGACGCGGGAGUCCCCGGCGAUAUUGCUGGCCGAGCAUGUAGUGGCCGACGUAGUCCUUGCAGUUGGCGGGCACCGUCUUCCAGUCGCGCUUGUUGUAGGCCUCCACGGCGAGCCGCCAGCUAUCGCACGGCACGCCGGCGAGCCGGCCCAGGUCUCCGGCGGAGCCCAGCAGCGGGUGCAGCGCGUGGAUUAGCGGCGUGGCCACGCCUUCUUGGAGAUGGGCCGCGGCUUCCUCUGUCGCGCGCACCGUGGGCAACCGGAUCAUGUUCAGAUCCCAUGCGGCGCCGGUGGCCAUGAGAGCAGCCACGAGCAGGACGAGCCUGGCCACCGCCGCCAUUAGUAGAUGAUGAUUCCUCCUGGCUUGGUCUUGGGUGAAGUGUUAUUGCUUGUUGCAAUGGCCAACUGGCUGUGGGGCACAUAAAUAGAGGAUGGUUUGUAUCUCCCCUAAUAAUGCACCGAGUUUUUCUUUUCUACCUCCACACCAAAAAACGUCCCCCGCUGAGGAGCCCUCUCUCCAUCCAUCCAGAAAAGUGUACCCAGAAGUUUUUCUUUCCUACCUCCACACCAAAAAACGUCCCCCGCUGAGGAGCCCUCUCUCCAUCAAUCCAGAAAAGUGUACCCAGAAACACAACAUCUUUAAAAUAGACCGUCUAGAUUUAAUCUAAGUAUUCUCUCUCCUUACUCACUCAAAUCCAAGGGCUAAGAUUGCUCGUAUCAACCUCCUCAGCCUUUGCUGUCCGCCCCCAACAAAAACAAAAACACCUGUUGCGCCGCCGCUAAUCACGUCUAUCGCGUCUCGUGACUCUAAUCCCAACGCUCGCACCGAGGGACUCCUGCUGCUCGCCGUGAAUCAUACCGGCGCCACACACGAACAUCUGCUAAUCACAACCACCGAGUGCACACAAUCGCCGAGACGGGACCAUCACCGAGCAGCCGAUGCAGAUCGAGCGUCCACACAUUCGGCCGCCGGUGGAGUCAGGCAUCCAAUCCGCGCAGCGGCGGCCGGUGCCGAGUGCAGAUCAGGUACUUGCUUGCUGCCCCUUGUUACCAUUGUCAGGCAUCCAUGUAUCAGCAGUGCAGAUCCUGGUGCAUGCUUGCUGCCCCCUGUUACCAUUGUCGCAAAGACGACAGUGCUACUUGUUUCAAAGUUGGAGCCAUGUCUUCUCAGUUUAUGUUAUAAGGGACAACUCAAAUUUUGUUCUCUCUUGCCUUUUGCAAGGACUGACAUACUGAAUGAAAUAAAAAAAUAAAAAAACUGAAUGACUAAAUUGGAUGUAGAACUAAAAUAAAAAAAAUACAUACGAUCCAAGUUAUAUAUAAUAAUAUAUAAUAAUAAUAAUAAUAAAAGAUAUUGUAUUAUUAGGGUAGAUAAAAAAAUAGGAUCUCAUCAUGUUUCUUUUUUCCAAUGAUGUUUUGUUGUCAUCCCUCGGUCCUCACUCUAUUCUCAGACCGAGUAAUAUAUAAUAUGAUUUUUAGAUUAUUAUUUAUCAGUCUUACAUAGAAAAAUGGGAACGCCAAAAAAGGGACGGAUUUCGCUUAGCGAUGUAACAAACAUACAUACAUAUUCCAGAUAUAAGCAUAUACACAUAUUGCAAUGAAAUAUUAUAUACAACGCCAUAAAUAAUAAAUAAGAAACCUCCAUGUCCACAGCUUGCAGCGAAAAACAACUUAAGAGAGACGAAAGGAAUAGGAAACAACGUGAGUACCGUGUUAGAAAAGAGGGCUCAAGAAACGGACGAGGAACAGGAGGAGAGGAAUAAGAGGCAGCGUGAGUACCGUGCUCGCCGAAAGGCCGAAACAAGUGCACUUUCAAAUGUACCGGAUCACCAGAUGCAUGAUCUUCGCUAUUCUUGUGUGGUAUAAGAAUAUGAUGUUUAUUUUUGUUCAUGUCCUUUAAAUAGACUAUGUUGUAGGAACCCAUUCAACUUAUGGGACACCUUUCUCGGCCAUCCUGCAGCCAUUGUGCGAGGGAUGCAUUGUAGCCCCAAACAUGAACUUUGUUGACAUGGAUAUGGCAGGAACCUUGCUCGGAGUAGGUCAAGCAUCACCAUCAGAGACCUUGGAUUCCGAGAUCUUUACUGGACCACCCUCGGUUCAAGACAAAGAAAACCAAAGCCCAUGUCAUUCUCCAAUAUGGUUGCAUUGAAACAAUAACUACUACGUCAGAGUGAGGCAUCAGGUGUCUGGAGAUAAUGCAUUUCAGCAAUCUCCUCAAAUAGUGGAUCCAGGUGUGUGUCAUUUAGUAAAAUUUAUACAAAAAAUAGUUUAGGAUCUAGGUGUGUGCCUUUUAUUGAAAAUUUUACACUAACUAAUUUUUAAUAUUUAUAUGACAAUUAGUGAAAUUUUUGCACUGACUAAUUUUUUAUAUGCCACCAUAACAACAAAUUGUUCAUCAGUUUCCAGUUCACUUGGCAACAAGCUAUUGAGAAGAGAGAAAUACAACUUUAUGGAAGCCUAAAAAAACAGACAUUAUUGGAGAAAAAAGGGACUACGCAAGGGACCUCAAGUUUGUUUGUUGUAAGUUGAUAUAAUUAUUCCCUUCAUGUGUAUAUAUAAUUGUAAUAAUUAAUUAAAUUCUAAUAAAUUUUGGAAAAUCAACAGUCUAUAACUCAGUUUGGGCGAGAUCCAUGGUGUUGUGACAAGAUAGAAAUAAUGACUAGCAAAAUUGUUUGAAUGUUGGCCUGAUAUGGACUACAAAAUUCAAAAUUGCAACAAUGUAAGAUAUUAUUCCGUAAAUUCCUUAUAUUUGUUUACAGGUUCUAUUCCCAUAUUGGCGUGAUAGACACUAUAUUUUAUUCAUAUUAGACAUAAGUAACAAAUUUUUGUACAUUAUUAAUCCGAAUUCUCCAAAUCUAUGGCACAUGACUGAUGAUCCAAGCAAGCCAUAUACACCUAUACUAAAUAUUAUUUUGAAUCAUUUCAACCUUGCCAUGAAAUUAGCAAAUCCUAUAUGGAACGACAAUAUUUUUCUCUGGCGUCAUGAAUUCAUAAAAAAAUCAUCCAAAAAGCAAGGACUGGUAAAAACUUAUUUUAAUUUUUUUAUCUUUUUUAUCAAAUAGUCAUUUGAUUUUAUCUACAACAAACAAACACUUUCUCUCUUCUUCUAUAGGAAAUUGGCAGGCUUUCUCGUAUACAACUUCAUAAAGUCAUGGAAUGGUGAAAGACUGACGUUUAUCGACACUGUAAGCUUAUAUAAUUUAUAUGUAUAAUAUCUUGUAGCCUAUAUAGAAAAAUAAUAAGUUAACUUAUUAUCUACCAUUCACAGAGGUCACGUUCACUAAGGACUGAAUUCAUAGUGAAUAUUUUGAAGAGCAGCACAAAUGAAUGUACAGAUAAUAUCUCUGGAGAACUCCAAGUUCUACUUCAACAAAUAAAUUAGCUGAAAUAUACGAGAUAUGAUUUUAUUGUGUCUUGUUAUACAUUAGCAUUUCCCAUAAUUGAAUGUGACUUAAACUAUUGAACAAUAUCGUUGUUUUGUUCUUUUUAAUUACACCCUAGAAUGAAACCGUCGUGUGCCACGGGCACUAUACUAGUGGUGAUAGUAGUCUGAUCUGCAUGUCAGAGAUGGGCAACUGAGAAAUACCGUGUUAUCCUUGUCGAGCGACAUCCCUUAACACAACAACCAAUCAUUUAUUUAUUCUGAGUACCUUACGGACCACAUUCAAGUCCAAAGUUAAUUCUAUCAAAUCUGAAGUACUUCAUUGGAUUGAAUCAAUAACAUAUUUCCCAAGGAACAGUUAAUCUAUUUAUAGAGAACAGUUAAUCCUUAGUGCCCGUGCUAACGCUACGGUUUUAUUUAAAAAAUACAUAUGAAAACAACCAAUCAUUUAUUUAUUCUGAGUAUCUUACGGACCACAUUAAAGUCCAAAGUUAAUUUUAUCAAAUCUGAAGUACUUCAUUGGAUUGAAUCAAUAACAUAUUUCCCAAGGAACAGUUAAUCUAUUUAUAGAGAACAGUUAAUCCUUCUAAAACAGGUCCAACAUCCUGUAAAAUUAUAGAGAACCAUACAUUUUUUUAAAUUCUUUUGCACCUUAAGCAUAUAGGGGAUUAUAUAAGCUCGAAACAUACAUAGUAGGUAAUUGUAAUUUAUGGACUUACUCAUUUAAGGAUUCAUCAUAGCAGAACAUGUUUAUAAACGAUAUUCUUGGUGCUCUUGCCUGUGGAAGCAAACUGGAAUAUUACUUUUUGAUUUAUGGCAAAGAUGCAGUAAGAUGCACAAUUAGUUGACAUAACAGUUCACCACAUAUAGCAAGGCAGAAACAUUCGGGUCUGAAUUUCUACUUACCUACACAAAAAUCAACUACAGGCAAGCAUCUGACCCCAUUCUAAAUCACAUACCUCCAAGAGGUAGAUAGUAUUGGAACUCCUCUUCUCAGUGGAAUAUCAUUGGACACCUAUAUUGUACGCAAAAGCAAAACACGAUUAAUUUACAUAUAGAUGGCCACAAGUGCACAACUCCGUGAUAACAGAGAGCUGAUGUUUCGGCUGCCACAAGAAGAAAAACUUUUGCACGUCGUUUUCACCAGCAUACCGAUCAAGUACUCCCAAAUAUGAAUCCCACCAAACUGAACGCUGAUCCAUUGUUCCAAGGCCACCACUGAAUAGCAACCGUGAGAGUCCUCCAAGAGGCAAGAUCAUCAACCCUCGCUACUCGUUGAGUCAUAAGGCAAACUCCAUCUCAGCUCGUUUCAGGACACGUGAAACCAUAGAGUAGAAUUCAGGUUCUUCUUCUUUUAUUGGGUCGAGUGUGGUGGAUUCAUGGGCAUCAGCCUGCAUAAAUAGGAGAAGGUGAACCAAUGGACAGGAAAAGCCCGCCAGUCAUUUCAUUUGCAACUAAGGAUGAAAACGGAACGGAAAUAUCCCGAACCGAACCGAACCGCUUUCUAUAUUGGAUCCGAUCGAAUUCGUAUUUUUUUGUCCGACUUUAUCGUUUUCGCUUUCGUAUUUUAGAUGUUUCGUAUUUCAAAUAUAAAAGUAGAAAACGGUUUUGACAUUUUUCGACCGUUUUCUACUUUUCUACUUUUAAUAUGAAAUAUUUCGAAUUCAAAAUUUGGUUUAAACCGAAUUUAGUCAACUGUAGGGUCACACAGUCUAAUUAUAGACUACUCACCAUGCAUCUGCGUUCUUUCUACUAGUGGCUAGUUGUGUUCAUGUUAGCUAUUAAUUGCUUAUUCUAGACUUGUAUUUAUGUGUGGGCUAUUGUAUUAAAUACCUAAGACUAAGAAGCAUGCACUUUUUAAUUAUUAUAUGCACUUGAACUUGAUCCUAUAUAUACUUUUAUAGUCAUGCACUUUUAUAUAUCAGUAUUUCGUAUUGAGUUUUCGUAUAUCGACCGUGUUCGACAUAAAUCCGAUCGAAUUGGUUCGUUUUCGAAAUUCUCGAUAUUUCGUAAGUUCGUGUUCGUUUUCGUGUCCGACUUUACCGUUUUCGUUUUCGUUUUCGUAUUUCAAAUGUAAAAGUAGAAAACAAUUUAGGAGUUUUUCGACAGUUUCCGACCGUUUUCAUCCUUAUCUGCAACAUAUGCCAUCUUGGAAUUCAACUUCAAUGUUCCAUGAGCAUUCGUGACUUGUUACCUCACUAAACUUGAGAAGUAUUAAGUUUGAGAUGCCAGCAGCCUUUGAUUUGUCCCACCUAUAACAAAGUAAUUACAGGAAUUAAUGUCAAAAAAAAUCUCAUCGAAAUUUAAGACAUUACCAAUGCCAAGCCACUUCAGAGUUACAAGCUAACAUAGCUAAUUAUCCAGACUUAAAAGAUGUCAGUCACCCUACGCUAGAGAUAAUGCAAGUUGGAUUUUGCUUUUGCUCUACCAAAUCAGAUAUGAUGGGAACUUAGGUAGUGCCACAAAAGGCACGAUGAUCUCAAGCCACACUAUCAGUUAGAGAAGGAAGCAUACCGAACAAGCAUUAGUUCAUUGACAGAUCUCCACAUUUUCCGACCCGUGUCCUUCUGACUUUGGUCUCUAGCACUUCGACCACGCCACAAUUCUUUGACAAUGUACAUUACCUCUUCAGAAUCUACCUUUAGAUUGUAAAAGAGAAUGUUACAAACGUAGACGUACAAAAGGAUAUCAAAACAAGUGAAGGUGAAUAAUCCCUUUUUCACAUGUGCUGGUCACCAUCAACAUAAAUAAAUAACACCUCAACUACAUAAUUCUCGAAGAAAAUAUCUUAUUUCCAGGAUAUGACAUUACAUAGCAAGAAACAUAGUACCAGAACUUGCUCGGCUGUCCCAUACAUCAGCUCCUCAUGCUCAAUAAGACGCUGAUGAAGUAUACGGUAAUGAUCCAAAUCCAGGUUAACAACUGGUUCAGUUUGAUAAUCUAAUCCAGCAAGCUGAGUAAUCACAUAGGAGGCUAUAACUUGACCAAAUAUUGCAGGUUAAGAUGGGACUUCAUAGUGGCUGCUCUGACAAGACUCAAUCUUCCCGCUCCUUUUAUAAAUCUCAUCUAUCAAUGUAUCUCUACCACUACUCUUUCUGUGCUGGUUAAUGGUGAGCCCUCUGCAGGCUUCUCGGUCACCAGAGGAAUAAGGCAAGGCUGUCCUCUUUCCCCUUAUCUUUUUGUAGUAGCUAUAAAUGAACUAUCAAUCUCUCUCCAAUGCCACUUGCAGAAUUCUAGACUUGCAGGUAUUUCCUUGGGGCCUGGCUGCCCCCCAAUCCACUCUCUCCUUUUUGCAGAUGACUUAAUCAUUUGUGGAAACGCCAACUUCCAGGAAGCUCAGACAAUACACUCGGCUCUUUAUGAUUUCUGUGAUCAAUCAGGUCAGACCCCCAACCUCAACAAGUCAUCCAUUUUAUUCAGUAAGAAUGUUCCUAAUCAAGUACGUAAUCAAAUUAAAUACAUUUUCCCAGUUCCUGAUCUAAACCCUAACACCAUUCACUUAGGUCACCCUCUGAUUUUUAAUCAUAAAGACAGGAACAAAGCAUAUGCUUUUAUCAAGAAUAAAUUUCAUGCUAAAUUCACCACUGUUAAAGCAAACAAAUUAAAUCACGCUGGCAGGCUCACCUAUAUUCAAUCUGUUCUCUCUGCCAUUCCUGUUUAUUAUAUGUCCACCAUCCUCUUCUCGAAAGCUUUUAUUGCUGAACUAACAACCAUCAUUAAAAGAUUUUGGUGGGCAGGAAUCCAGGAGAAAAAUGCAACUAACCCUAUCCAUUUCAGAUCUUGGGAAGAUAUCUGUCAAUCUCGUCAAAAUGGAGGUUUAGGCAUAAGAGAUCUUCAUCUUGUUAACAAAAGCCUGGCAACUAAUAAAAACCCUUUCUUACAACAAAUCAUCAAAGCAAAGUAUUAUCCCACCUCCUCAUUCUGGAACGCUACUAACAAUGUUCCCAAGUCGGCUUUCUGGUCUUCAAUUCUGCAGGUCAAACAGGAGCUAUCGGAAAGCGUGCAGCUUCAACUACAUCAAGGCAACAGUUCUAUUUGGUCAGCCCCCUGGUGUGACAUCUGGAAAUCCAUCCAUGAUCACCUGCUCAUCCCAGUCACAACUCUGCCUCUUCCAAGCACUGUAAAUCAACUCUGGUACCCAGGCACUCGUAAUUGGAACUUACCUCUUCUUAGUACCACUUUUGACAAUCAAGCUAUUCGCCAUAUCAUAAAUACCCCUACGGUUGACAGUACUGACAGUGACCUCCUAAGAUGGACUCCCGCUAAAGAUGGAUUAGGAACUGUUAAAGCUAUUUAUAAACAUCUCUCUAAUAACAACACUGUGAAUAUUCCUGCUACAGGUACAAGAAGCAUCACUCCACAAGCUAACACAAUUCUAUGCAGGGUCUGGAAAUGCAAAAGUAUCCCUCCUAUCAUUAAAACCUUCACCUGGCGACUCAUAAGAAGAGCCUUAGCCACAGCUGACAGGGCAACCAGAUUUUCAUCCCCAGGUAAUAACACAUGUGACAGAUGCAACAUGAUUGAAAAUGACUACCAUAUGUUCUUCCAAUGUACCCUCCCACGUCAGGUUUGGCUCACAGCCAACCCUUCCAUUAACACAGCUAAUCUUCCCCAUGAAAUUGAUGGUGUUCAAUCAACGCUAACCCUUAUCGUUAAUGAUACCACUCCUGAAGCUUUAUUAAGCAAAAUUCUUUAUACUCUUUGGUUCGUUUGGAAAGCCAGGAAUGACUACCACUUCAACAGAAAGGAUAGGAUAGCACCUCAAGUUCAUCAGGCCAUUCAAGCCUACAUGACCCAAAAUGAGCAAAAUCCCCCCACACAUCAUCUCAGUUUGCUCAAAACCAAGGUAAUCAACUAUCAGUUUUGCAGGCACACCUCCAACAGCCAACAAUGCACUACUGCCCCUUCCCAGCAAACCUCCAGGGCUCAAGAUGUUAUGUUGAUGCCGCAGUAACCUCUGAUGAUCAAAACAUAAACACUAACAUUGCAGGUCUAGGCAUCUUUAUCCUAAAUUUUCAGGUUCAGCCGCUCCAAGCCAUCUAUGUCCAAGCUCAACUUCAGCACUGCCACUCCGUUCUCAUGGGUGAAGCUGCAGCCCUAGCUCUUGGAGCAUCUAUUGUCCAGGCUCUUCAAAUUCCAUAUUGCAACUUUCUUUCAGAUUCCCAGCAACUGGUGCAUUUCCUCCAUCAGGAGAACCAACAGAACCCGCCCCAGUGGAGAAUCAAACCGUUUACACAGGUUUUCACCAAUACUGCAACCACACUUCAAACUCAGCUCUUCAAGAUCAACCGAAAUCAAAAUACAACAGCUGAUACUUUAGCGAAGCAGGCCCGUAGCUCCAUGCCUACAUUUUAAAGCUGUAAUUGUACCGGGCCUCAUUGUGGCCCCAUUUGUACUUUGUUCCAGGCUCUACUCCAGGUAGACCUCAACUCUGUAACCAUCUUAGCAGCUUCUUGCUGCGGGUAAUAAAUUUUAUUGCAAUUGUCAAAAAAAAAUAGUACUGGUAUAAUGCGAACCCUAAAUCCUGGGACAAUCUGUGGAAUAAUGCAUAGCAUGUUGUCAAUAGUUAUGUACACACACAUCAUGCACUCCUAUAAUAUACAAGCAAAUGGGUGUUCUAGAGGAAAUUUAAUUAACUCUUUGUAACAAAUAUUUCUUGUUCAAAAAAUCACAAGGAAAAAAGGUCUCAAGAAAUGGAACAAGCAUGUAGCAGGAGGGUGGUAAUACAAGUCCUAGGGGAGCUCACCUGGUAAUCUGAUGGAGUUUCCUCUUCUUUUGAAGCUUGAAAAGGAAGCAGCUUUGCCUUUGGCUUUUCCAAUGAAAAAACUACUGGUAUUCCACCCUCAAUUCCAUGUUCUUUCUUGAGCCUGUACCUCACCUAAAAGUAGCAAUCACAACAUCCCAUUUGCAGCACAUCUUGACAUGUCAGUUAGCUGACGAAUGAAAUGGCAGCUUACAGUGGGACAGAGUUUUGGAAGAAGUAUCAAACUAACCGAUCGAGAGAGGGGAUCAUUGCUUGAUUCUCUCAAAUCUGCAACACGAAUUCUGGUGGGAUCAGCUCGAGCUCCAGCCCCCAUUGCAGAAAGUACCUUCAAACCUCUGCGCACGCAAGCUGCAAGGAGUGCCACCUAAGGGGCAAGGAUAUUUGAACGGUUACAAAAAAAUGAAGACAAACAUUGACAAGCUUACAAAUGAUAUAUUCGUAACUAAUGUUCAAUGAAGCCAUUCGGGCUAAAAAAACAGGUUUCAACUGUCUAUGCAGGGUGGCUUUGUGUACCUUAAUCAUCAGAUACAGAGGUAAGGGAAAUUUGAGUUUACCUGUCCGCGUUCCGUCGUCGUGCCCUGGCCGCGCUCCGACGUCGCGUCCCGGCUGCCCCGGCGAGCCCCUGACCACUCGCCCCGGCCACCCGGCGAGCCUCGGCCGCGCGUCCCGGCCGCCCUGGCCACGCACCGCGGCAAGCUCUGGCCGCCCACCCGCCCUGGGGAGCCCUGGCCGUGCGCCAUGGCCAGCGAGCGCUGGCCACGCUCGCCCUGGCCAGCGAGUCCCGGCCGCGCGCCUGCCCCGUCGAGCCCUCGCCGCGCUCGCUCCGGCUGUCUUCCUUGUGCGUCGCGGAAGCCCUGGCCGCGGGAGAUCUGGCCGCGCGCCCGCGGCGGUCGCCCUGGCCGUGCGAGCCCUGUCCGGCGCGCAGUGGGCGCGCGCCCGCCCUGGCGAGCCCUAUGCGUCCCGGCGAGUGAGCCCCGGCCGCACACCUGCCACGCUCGCCUUGGCCGGCGAGCACCGGCCGCACGCCCGCCCCGGUGACCCCUGGCCGCGGUCGCCCUGGCUGGCGAGCACCGGCCGCGCGCUCGCCCCGGCGACCUUGGCCGCCCCUGGCCGCGCUCGCCCUAGCUGCGCUCGACUUCGCCGUGAACUAUUGAUCCUGGAAGAAAAAAAUAUACAAAUGCAGGUGUCUGGGCUCGAACCCGCGACGUGGCUUCUGAAGGCGCAGGCUCGCGCGCGUGUGAGAGAGGAGAGUUGGAAGCGGCUUCUAACAUCUUAAUCUGAGACGUCCGAUUUAUUGGGCGUGUGUUAACAGUCGUUGAUUUUGAAGUAGGGAGGUGACUUGAUUUCAAUUAUAGUAGAGAUAGCUCUAACUUUACAUUACAAGACCAACGCCUACACAUCUAGCGGGCACUGAGGCUUUGUUUAAUUCGCGAAAAGAAAUCUUUUAAGUAUUGUAGGACAUUUCUGAUUAUGCAAUUAAUAUUUAAUCACUAAUUAAGCUUAAAAGAUUUAUCUUGCAAAAUAUAUAUAAAUUGUGUAGUUAGUUAUUUAUUUUAAUCUAUAUUUAAUGCUCUAUGUAUAUGUUCAAACAUUCAAUGUGAUGGGGCAAAAUAUUUUUAGAUGGGAACUAAACAAGGCAUGAGAAUUGAAGGGCAACCACCAAAGGGCACACUAUCGGGGUUUUACUUAGUUAAAUCUUGAGCCGGGAUUAUGCUAGAAUCGAACAACACUAGCUAGUAUAGUGCCCUAGACAGAUAAGAGGUCGGACCCAUUAUUAAAGAAGUGAGAGGCUGGAUACGUUUGAUGCGGGAGUGCAGCGCGCAUCUCCCAAGUGAAGACAAAUGGUAAUAGUGUGACGGAUACUUUAGCUUUAUAUGCUAGAAAAUUUAAACACUUUGCGGCUUGGUUGGGUCAAGCUCGUGCGUGUGCCUUGAACUCAAUCAAUGUUGAUUGUAAUUCCCCUGUUUCUAGCUAAUAAAGCUUUCUCUUUACUCAAAAAAAAACAACGAUGCCUUCAGGAAUUCAUUUUGCUCCUUCUCUCACUACUAGAUGAAAUAUUUUGCGAGGCCUUUUGAAAUACACCUCCGAGGCAGGCAGGAUUUUCAACCGCCUCGGUUAAUAUCUACCAUUAAUCGAGGCGGUUAUUUUUUAUUAACCGAGGCAUUUACAAAAACCACCUUGUAAAAUCGAUUAACCGACGCGAAGAACUUAAAAAUGCCCGCCAUGAUUAAUAUCGAUUAACCGUGGCAGUUGUUGUAAAGUGACUGUCUCGGUAAAUACAUUAACCAAGACGGUUACAUUACAAAGCCCGCCUCAGUAAAUAUUUGGCCCAUACAGCCCAUCUAGGCUCGGUAACGGGUUUCUAAUAUAUACGUGAGCACAACAAACCCUAACUCCACUCCUCCCCUCCCUCGCUCUCAGUCGUGCAGCAGCCCAUCCCCUCGGCGUGAACAGACCGAGCUUUUUCUCAAGCUUCUCUUCCCCAGCCGUGCGUCGUGCCCCAUCCCUGCCCCGUUCCCAUAGCCGGCGGCCUCCUCUUGAGCUUCCCUCCCGUCAGCGCCCAUCUCCCUCCCUUAUUCCCAACCACGACAGCAUGUAGGCUGGGUGCGCGGCGCGGCACCCUCUCCCUGCGGUGGCUCAGGGACGUGGCCCCUCCAAUGGGGUACGACGUAGGUGGCGCGACCCCUCUAGCGGCGUGGCGCGUGGAGCGUGUCCCCUCUAACGCUGGCAAGACCGAGGGGACGCAACUCCUCUCGACUCCGGCGGCGGCGCGGGGGGCGCGGCCCCUCCUCUAUCUAUGGUGUGAGGCCGGAUCUGGCUUCUCCAGCAUGGAUCUGCGCGUAGGGCAGCUAAAUCCGAGCGGCAACGGCGCUCUUGGCGUGGAUCUGGCGUGGGGCGGCGGCGGCGCUCCUCCUGUGAUGGCGGCUGUCCAGCGAGGACCAGCGAUGACAGCGACCCAUGUAUGGGCUCGACGGGCUUGUGAUGGGCUCACCGGGCCUAGCCAUGGAUUUUUUUAUUUGAUUAACCGAGGCGGGCAGCAAAACGCCUCAGAAAAUACCUCCAUUUAUUAUGACCUUUCAUUCGAUGUGUUUUUGUUGCCCGCCUUGGUAAAUAAAAAAUGCUCGUCUUGAAAAUGAUUUUCCGUAGUAGUGUCUUCGUGUCUUCGCUUUCGGGUUUUACUUGGUGUCUUGAACUCGUAUAGCAUGUCUUGUUUGUUCUCAACGGUAGCUCUAGUGUCUUGUUCGAGGUGCUGAUCACUCCAACCUUCAGAGUGCCUAAUUCCAAGCCAACCUUACAUCCAAUGAACUAAACCUAACAGGUUUUUGGCUGUUGAUUACAGCUGCUGUCAAGAAUAGUUAGCAAUUAUUCCGCUGGUAAGGGCCACAGUAUUCAAAGAAUUUAUAAACAAUAAUAUCCUCGUGCUUGUGCCCUCGUGAGCUGCACAUUUAUUAAUGUGCUCUAUCUUUCGCGCAUUCCCAUUUGAACUGGCAAAGGCCAGAUUGUGGUAUGUCUAGCGCAAAUGCAUGCGUCGUUAAUAAAUUUUAAAGAUGUAGAAGAGGACAACUUUAACGUUCAUAUAUUACGAAUGGGUUCACUUUUACCCCCCUCUAUAAAAAAUAUCGAACUGUUUAAGCUUUGUCUUAAGUCAAAUUAAACUUGGGUACCUUUAACUUUACAUGAUACAACGCGGUAUUAAUUUAUUUCAUCUCUUCAACAUGAUAAAGCGUAUUUAUCUUUUCUUUUUGAACAUUAAGCGUAUCAAUGAAAAAAUUCCGGCCUCUGCAUUACAAUGUUACCAGCUUAUAUUGUUAAUCUCUUGAAUAGUUCAACGAUUCUUAUCGCAAAGCAAUUAAGUUCAAACAACAGAAAACCAAAAGUAGGCGACAACAUGGAGUCAUUAUUAGUCAUCAAGCACGGAUUCGGGCAUAUUAUAACAACAAUCUAAAAGCAUUUCAUCUUCUCAUAACAGGCUAUCAUUGCAACACAUUAUGGACGGUCGGCCAUUAUUGGAUGAUCGGGCAGCUCGAAGUUGCGUUGCCUGUCUGCUGUCGCCCUAGCUUAGCCAAUGUAGUACAAGGGGUCGGGCAGCUUGAAGGUGCGCGCACCCUCCGGUGCGCCAAGGAUGUCGCUCCACUGGUCGCCGAUGUUGCCGACGAUGACGUACCCAGCGUUCUGGAGCUUCUGCCGUGCACCGGACUUGUAGCCGAUGGCGGUGCCCUUGAAGCCGAUGGGCUUGAGCAGCAGAUGCAUCCAGCCGGAGUAGCCCUGGCGGCGGAGGUUGGUGACGGUGAUGGCCCUCUGGUCCUCGGUGCGCCCCGUCAGGAACACCGGCUUGAUGCCGAGCGAGAUCAGCUUCUUGAAGAGCCGCUGCGUCUCCGGCAGCACCGGCGCGCUCCCCUCCAGCACGUACUCGUUGAAGCUCGUCGCGUUGUAGGGCUUAGUACUGUGAUCAAGAAAAGAAACACAUGGAUUCGCAGGUUCGUUAUAAUUAGCACAUAGCGUGUUAGUUUUAAUUUAUUACGUCAGUGUGAAUGGAAAACUAUAUAUGUACAUGGAUACGCACGUACCCGAAGCCGUGUUUGGCGUAGUAGGGGAGGUUGGAGAGCGAGGUCUCGUCGAUAUCGAACACCCACACCUCCUUGCCGUUGCCGGCGAGCUUGAGCCCCUCGGCGUACGCGAUGGCCUCGUCGGCGACGACGCGGGAGUCCAGGCGGUAUUGCCGGCCGAGCAUGUAGUGGCCGACGUAGUGCUCGCAGUUGGCGGGCACCGUCUUCCAGUCGCGCUUGUUGUAGGCCUCCACGGCCAGGCGCCAGCUGUCGCACGGCACGCCGGCGCGCCGGCCCAGGUCUCCGGCGGAGCCUACCAGCGGGUGCAGAGCGUGGAUCAGCGGCGCGGCCAUGCCUUCCUGGAGACGGGCCGCCGCCUCCUCUAUCGCACGCGUCG
rnacentral:lncRNA from 1 species